CUGCUCCCAUGUCUCCACCUAGCCGGAGUAGGUGAUCGAGUAGAACCUGCCCGCGUGGUAGACGGCGUCCUCGAUGCCGUCGCGCGAGGGUCCCAUCGGCCACGUGACACUCUCCGAUCCGACCUCCGCAACGCCGUGUCGCGAGGGCGCCAGCCUCCACGCACAGCCCUCCGCUGUCGCAAAGGCCACGGCGCCGUAGCGUGGAUCGGUGAUCAGCAUGGCGAUGGCGGAGGACUCGGAGAGGACGACCUUGCGGUAGAAGCGGUGGCGCAUCCCUUGGGGGGUCAACGACACGGUUCCGUCCGGGUACGGCGGGGGAGCCCUGAUGAACCGCUUCAGGUCGAGCGAGAAGAUGGAGCCCCCAGGUUGAGUUCGGGCGUUGACGCAGGGGAUGGUGUCGAUGGCCGGAAGCACGCGCCGCUCGCCGGUGACCGGGUUGACGAGGCGCAGCUGGGCCCGAUUGUCCGCGGUGACGAGCCACCCAUGGAAGGAGGAGGAUCCCAGAACGACGGGGUCGGGGUCCACGGCGCACACGACUGCGGAGCAGCGCUCGGCGAGCGAGAAGAGCGUGGUGGUCUCCGGGGAGUUGCCGGGCAGGACGAGCCAUGGCGACCCCGACUUGCCGAAGGCGGCGUCGAAGGCGAGGCGGUCGAGGAGGCCCAGACGGGCUUGGAUGUUGGCUAGCAUCUCGGGCGGGAGGCAUGCGACGGCCUCCGCCGUCUGAGUUGGCCGCAUUGGAAGGUGUUAGAAUAAAUCCGAGGCCAUACCGUCGAUCAUCCGAGGACCAAGCAAUCACACGAGCACGAUACCGAGAUUUGUUAACGAGGUUCACCGAUAUGGCUACAUCCCCGGGGCCUGACUACGGGCGCUCCUCCCCGUGGCACCGUCACAAUACACACACCGGCCACCCGGGCGCCGGCACACGCCGCCGGCUCCCUCUUGCGUGCCUGUGCUAUUAUGUUGGCAUAGGUUACAUCGUGUGUCUACCCCCGCUAUAUAUGAGAGGCCUAGGAUACAAAUAUCCUAUUAGGACACGACUCUGUACCUUGUAAACACAACACAACUCAUAGUCCAACUGUAACCUACCUUGUCACUAUAUUCGACACAACUCUAACAGAAGGAUCGAUAGGAGAGAUGGAGCAGUGGGUUUAGGUUUAGGGUUUAGCUAGGUGCUGCAUAUUUUUUUUAUAAGCCUAUGGUGCCUCCAUGCAAACUCCUACUCCCUCCGUUCCGAAUUACUUGUCGUAGGCAUGGAUGUAUGUAGAUGUAUUUUAGUUCUAAAUACAUCCAUUUCUGCGACGAGUAAUUUGGAACGGAGGGAGUAGGUCCUAGCUAUUUUUUUGAUAAAGGGAAUAUAUUAAUAUCAUGAAGAUAUCAAUUACACCCAGCCUCUGUGCCAACAAGAUGUCCAAAGGCAUCAAGGAUACACACAGCCAAAAAAGAAAUAAAAAAACAGUAGAAAAAAGAUCCCGCCAUGGUGUUCAAUCACUAGCAACAGCAUAACUCUAACAACCAUCGAAAGACAACACCCGGAUUACAAAAAAGGUUCUCCAGAAGCAACGCCUUCAAGAAGGAAACAAUUUUCUCUUAUGUUUGUGCGUAUACAGUUAUAUACACUAAUUUAUUCUUGUUUGGUAAAUGAUAUAAGUUGAAUUUCUCACCGUUCAACAUCACACACUUAAAAAUAUAUUUUGAACCACAUUUUUAAUUUUUAAAUUCAAAUUUAAGAUGGCAUUGCUUCCAAAUGCAUGAAUUAGACAAGUUCAAUCAAAAGCAAGCCAUCAUAUUAUGUUUCAAAAAAAAAGAGGAAAACAUCAUGCACACAUUCAACCAAAAGCACAUCACUGCGAAAAGAUCUCGUGUCGUCGGCACCGCUACCUCUAAGUGUGCAUCGCUCCCUCGUUUGAUCAUUUGCCGCUCCAUCCCAUCCUGGAUGCCAUGAUCUACGAGGUUAAAGUGCACAACUAGCGCCUGGUGAGGAACAUGCUCGCUCAGGGAUAUGAGCUUCACAUCCGGCGUAUAAAAGACCGCGUGUAUUUUGUGUCGACGGCUUUCUCCUUCACUUUCGUCCAUUGGGAAAGACCUUUACGGUGGUGGCCGAUCAGCACGAUGUGCGGCGGCUUUUUAAUAAAGGUGGCCGUAUGCAUCGUUCUGAUGCAGAGACCGGGGAGUCCCCCUUUUUGAAAAAAAAAAGCACGAUGUGCGGCGUGAAUGCGUCUUCGUCGACGCGACGGAGUUAUGCACAGACCCUGGAGAUCGCUGCGCGUGUGGUCGUCAUGCACCUGGGCGGCACGGGAUUCGUCACAGCUCCUGCCUCCACGCCGGUCUCGGCUUUGCAUGACAUUAGGAUGUCCUGUAUCGGCACGCAUGCAUGCAUGCCACAAUAAUCAGAAUAUAGUGUGCAGCAUUAGUUUUUUUCUAGUAUAUGCUGCCUGCUAGGUUGCUACAUGAAUCCGUGAUCAUCUUUUUGUUCUUUUUUCGAUGAUUAAGUAACCCUAGAAGUUUUGUCCACAUUACUGUCCGGAAACUCGUAUUAUUCAACUGAAAUAAUUUUAGUGAUAGUGACGCACGUGUGAAUGUAUGAAACUUAAGUAUCCUUCAUUCAUAUCAAGUUUUAGUAUUUAAUCUUGUUGAAAAAUUAAAACUUGUCAAAAUGUAUUUAAGAGUAGUCUUUUUUCCGAAGUCCUCAUCUUAAGAAACACAAAUAUGCAAACAUAACAUAAAAUAGACUUUCAGUUCAAAAGAUAAAAUUGAUUCAAAAUGAAAACUUUCUAAAUCACCGCCCAAAUGUGCGGCCCACGAAGUGUGUGCAUGAGCCACUGAUACCCCUGCGAAUUUCUUCCUUGGACGACUCAAAAAACAAUCAAAGCCCAUCGAGCAUGCACAAGAUUCUGUUGAAACGCUUGACGCAUCGUUAGGCAUGAACACAAGGAUUGUGACCAUGAAUCAUGUCCAUGCUGCUAGAAUAGACAGGAAGUAGAUCCUGGCGUCUGCCAUAGAUGCCCCCAUGGAGAUGGCCUAACGCCUUAGCCGUGUCUAAUACAUAAUCUUAAUAAAUGAGUUUUCCACAUUACGAGGCUUCAUAAUCUAAAAGUUUAUUGGAGAUUUAAAAAUGGUGGCAUGUUCUGUCUUUUUUGGCGAAGGCGAAUAAAAAUGUGCCAUAUUCAGAAUUUAGCAAAAGGCUUUUCACAUUAAAAUUUUCUACUCAUAGAUCGAUCAGGUGGUGGCCUAGCUUCCUCUUCAUUUUAAUAGCCAUCAUUCAUGACACUCAGUUGCUUAUGUUCAUACAUCUAGUGAUAUUGCAAUUAUCAUAUGACGGUGGAGCGCAAGUUAACUAGGUAGCACCCUGGAUGGUGGGAUAGGUAGUCUAGAUUCCAAGGCCGGGGUAAUUUAUAAAAGCUACUCUAGAUCUUAGUUCUCUUUAACUUGAAAGUCCUUGAGCUAGUCUUACCGGUUAGAACCACAAGUUGGUGGGCUAAAUGGCUCGGGUUUGAGCCUCACCACCUCUGAUUUAAUCUAAGCAUAUAUCCUCCUGUGCUCAACUCAUGUUUUUUUUAGUUCUCUCUACCUGUUUUCGGGUGCAAGAGAAUUGUUUCCUUCACACUAUAUGUUCAUGAUAACAAAUUUUGAGGAUUGAAAAUUUAAAAUCAAAGUAUAGAAUAUUUAGUUCUUCAUCCUAUAGUUUUUUAGUAGCUUCACGACUAUGUAAAGCAAGUAAACUUAAAUUUUAGCUCAUAGAUCGGUCCAGUGGUGGCCCUAGCUUCUUCUUCCUUUUAGACUAACACCUACUUUUCCUACUGUACGUGUUGGAUGUAGUGUGACCGCAAUCUGCUAGCUAGUAUUUUGAAUUUGUGAUAAGUUUUCCUAAAUAGAAAUAUCAUCGCAUAAUCACCGCUAGAAUUGCAGGAAAAACAUUCGUCCUUUCCAGCAGAAACUUACACACCCUUUCAAACAAAUAGCAAAUCCAGUAUGGUAUGUUUAUAUUAUUAUGUGCUACUCCCUCUGUCCCAUAAUAUAAGAACGUUUUUUAUACUAGUGUACUGCCUAAAACGUUCUUAUAUUAUGAGACGGAGGGAGUAUAACACAAUGAAGAAGCUGAAUUGGGAAUACGAUUCAGUUUAGGAUUAAAAAAGAAUUAUGAGUAAAAGUCAUCAAAAGUGAAAUUUGCAAGCAAGCAAGUAUUAAAAUCAUAAGAAAUAUAACUGUUCGUAAUAGCACAAAACAUAGGCAAGUAUUCAUGUCUUACCUUGAUCCAUUGCGACAUUGGUAGACCAAACUUCAAAGCUAAAUCACCCUCGGUUCUUCUGGUAUGUGUUCAUUGCAACGGUAGCUCAGCUCUAUCUCUCUACGUAUAUAUAAGCAGAUCCCAUUACACAAGUCCCACCGAUCUAGCUUUCACGUUGGCACAGACGCGCAAAGGAUUCAUUUGUCCUUUCCUCCGGCGCUGUCAAAAGUACAAAACAACCGUCAACGCUGCAGGCUUAUAUUUUAGGUUCUGGGAAGUUGCCGGUCUUGUUCGAGCCUCUGCUCUCUUGAUUUGCAUUUGAGAAAUACUUUGAUUUGUUUCCUACUCCUUCCGUUCCAAAUUAAUUGACUUGAAUUUGUCUAAAUACGGAUGUAUCUAUACUUGUUUGGUGUCUAGAUAAAUAUGGGUCAAAUAAUUUGAAACAGAGGGAGUAGUUACGUGCGUGGUUUUGUUUUCUUGCAGGAGUCUCGUGCGUGACAGCGUGAGUUGUUAACCGAAUCUGAUAGGAAAUUAAGAGUAGCUCAUGUUAUUUUUUGGGCAAAAAAUCACUCAGAUCUACUUAGCCAAAUCAGCAAUGGAGACGCUCAUAGGGAACAAAUAAAAUGCAUCAAGUAACUGGUGCUGAUUGUCUUCUUCCUUCCUAACAGGCCGAUGACAUGCCACUACAUCGCCCAAGCCAGUAUGUCAUUGUUGAACGCAGACAGGAAGUCAUUAAGAGCAUCUCCAGCCGUUCAGCCCCCCAGGGCGCCGAAAAAGAGCGGCCUGGGGGCGAACCGGCGCUAGAUUGGCCCCUCGGGCGACCUAGCUCCCAGCCACGCCCCCAGGCGCCGCCCCUCAGCCGCGGCAAAUUCGAACGUAGUCAUUCCGGCGCACAAAAUAGACGCCACAAAUCCGGCGGUCAAGCGGCCACAAGUUCGGCGAUCGGAUGAAAAGUUCGGCGUACAAAAAGCAGAUAGGACGCGCGUGCGCAUCAGACGGCGAGGUCGGCCUCCGGCGUCGGCGUGCGCGGGCUUGGCGGGGUCUUUGUGCUUGGUGGCGUCGGCGUGGCUUCUGUGCUGCGGGGAGUCUCGGCGGCAUCAUCGCUCGGGCUUGGCGGGGGCGUGGGCGUGGGCGUGGGCGGCGUCCUCGAGGGAAGCUGGUUCAGGAUGAGGCCACGCUCCGCCAAGUACCACGCCUUGAACGCCUCGUCGUUGCUCUGGAGCAUGUCCGCCCCGCCCAGCAGGAAAGCCAGGUCGGUGUUCCUUUUCUUCGCGGCGACGUUGGUCCGGAGUAGGUCGAGCUUGGCGGUGCUGCUCGACAUCAACGCCGACCACCGCGCGUCGGUCUUCUCUUCACGAAGGACGGCCCGGGCCUGUGCGUCGGCGAGGCAGUGCUCGAUGGACUCCUGCACUCGAGCGGUGGCCGCGUCGGCAUGUUUCCCCUUCUUGGCACCUUUGUUGCCGUCCGGCCGCCCUUCUGACGCGCCCGGAGUCGGCGCGUCCGGCUUGUAGGUCUCCUUGGCCUUGUCGAGGGUGCGCCGGACUUCCGCCCACUUCUCGCACUUGUCAAUGCGCUUGUAAACGUGGAGGUACUUGAAUUCGGCGUCGCGGUUGCUCUGCCGAUACAGGGCGAACAUGCGCAGCAACUGCGCGGAGGAACAAACAGUUAGCGGGCGCACACGACGAAGAGAGGCGGGAGACCGGCGUGGCAUACCUGAUCCUCAAUGCCGGCGCCGCUCUCCGGGCGAGCCGCGACCUCCUCAACGACCCCAUGCCAUUUGUUUCACGCCCCCUGGAUACGCCCCCAAUGGUUCGCCAUCGCCUUUGAGCCGCGCUGCAUGUAGACGCCUUUGAAGUAGGGGUCGACGAGCUUGCGCUCGUCGAACUCGGCCUUGAUGCGGUCCCAGUACGUCUCGAUGCUCUGGUUCGUGCCAGUGGUCGGGUCGAGGCAGACGACUUUCCAUGCUUCGGCGAGGCAUUCCUCCUCCUUGGACGCCCACUUGAUGCGCGGCUCACCUGACCUGGCCGCCCGCUUCUUCUUCUUGCGCCCCUUCGUCGGAACAGGCGCCGGCUCCUCCUCCUCCUCCUCGUCGUCGUCCUCCUCCUCCUACUCCUGCUCGUCCUCGCCGUAGACGUAGCCGAGCUCGCCGUCCAUGCCACCGCUGAGAUCCACCGUCUCGUCCUGGGUGACGAACCCGGGAGACGCGGCGGCCGUGGCUGAACCUGCCGCGAUGAUGUCGUCCAUGUCGGCCUCGGUCUCGUCGGUGUCGUCGAGGUGCGAGAAGGGCAGCGCGCCACGGCGGAGUGGGGGCGUCGGGGAGGAAGCGUAGGCGGGCGGCGAGUAGUUGUAUGGAGGGUACUGCACGCCGGCAAAGGCGAGCGAGGGCGUGCGCUGGGCCGGGUGUCCAUGGGGGAAGGUGACGUUUGGGUUGAACCACCGUGCGCGUCCCCGUCGGCCUAGCCCGGCGAGGGCGAUCCCCAUGGCUGCGGCGACGGAGAGCCGACGCCUUGCUGGCCCCAGGGCGCAUACUGGGCGUGGCUGACGGGUGGAUUCAUCAUCCCCGCGCGAGUCGCCUCGGCCUCGGCUUGGUCCGCCGAAGCGGCAGCCGCAACCGCGCGCGCCGCAUUGUCACGGGCCUUCUUGGCGAUGGCCCUGUUCCGCCGGUCGGCGGUGACAGCCUCCCGUCGCUGAACUUCCGCCCUCCACUCGGCGUUUGGCAUGCCCGGUGGCUUGGACGGUGGCGCCCUCGGCUUCCUCUGCUUCGGCUGGGCGAGGGAGGCGGUCGCGGUUGCCGCCGCGCGGGGGACGACGUACUUCUUCGGUGGCAUGGCGGCCGGCUAGGAGGCGAGCGGGAGGGAGAUUAGCGGGAGGAAAGGAGAAAUGGGAGGGAAGUGGGGGAAAAGCGGGAAGAAACGGCGGGAAUAGGCGCUGGACUUGCCACAGAGCGGACCCACGCGCCCUUUUCGCUUGUGCCGGCGCCCCAAGCGCCCCCAGGGCGCCGGGUUCUGCUUGGGUCCGUCGGCACCAGUUUCGGCCCGAGCCGGCGAAAAACGGGCUUUUGGGGGGCGACUGGACCGUUUUUCAGCGCCGGCGUGGCAAAAACGCCUGAAGAGGGCCUGUUGGGGGUGCGGCUGGAGAUGCUCUAAGGUCACGGUCAUGUCGGACUAUCACCCUGGAGAACAAAGCCACAUAUCCAAGAGCCAAACCUCCAUCAUUUCUCGCAUGCCUUACGCCAACACUAGAGACGCGAUCUGAAGACGAUAGACAUGUGGCUUAAUUAAUUAGUGUGUAUUCAGUGGGCCACGCAUGUGUUGAUCAAACACUACAUCAUUUAACUAAAUAUCUCUUAGUUCAAGAUGCUAAGGACAAAGGGCUCACAUGACAACUAAACUGAUAGGCGCGAAUAUACAGGGAAAAGACAAGCUCACUCUCUCAUGCGUGAACAUGAGGGCACCUCCAACGCUAACCCGUAAAUUUUCUUCCGCAUCCAUUCGUGGAUAGGAAGGUACCAGUCCGCGGACACGGAUGCAGGAAGACGCCAUCCAACCAUAACCGCAUGCAUUUUGGCAACCGUUCGAACUAACUGGGCGAUAUUCGUUCAAACACGGCUGGAUUUCAUAUAAACAUGACGGAUUUUUUAUUACAUUUACAUCAAGUAAGCGGAGCUCGUCCGGCUAGGCAUAAUUACCUAAUCUAAAUGGUCAUCGGCGUCUGCUCCCCGUGUCCGGCCAUGAACCCCAAGAACUGAAGCUUCGCCUUCCCUAGCUCCGCCUCGGCACUCUCCAGCUCUGCCUCCAUAACUUCCACCUCCGGAGCCAUGGGAAGCAAAGUUGUCCGCCUUCACGUCGCCGCCAAGCGGCUAAUCGGCCAACAAUGUUCAGCCAACCAAGCUUGGCUUCGACGAGAGGGGAGGAGCGGUGGCCUUCCCGGGCCCCGAGCGGCGGCGACCUACUGUGCACUAUUCUUCCUCACUGCCGGCGGCGCCCGCGGAUGUGCCGUCUUCAGCGAUGUCCUCCUCCUCCUCGUCGGUUUCGCCGAACACCGCCUUGUCGCCCUCCUUGUACGCGGCCGCCACCACCUCCGCCACCCGCUGGCGGUACCGCCUGCGGGCGAGGCGGGCGGAGCGGUAGGACUCGAGAAGCACUACCUGCUCCGCUACGUCCGCGUCCAGCGUGAUCUUCCUACCGGCGUUGAGCUGCUCCUCCGCCUGCAGGUGCUCCUGGAGAAGGUGGUGAUUGUAGGCAGCGGCGGCCUGUGCCUCCCAGAACCGCUCCUCCCACACCAUGUCCACGUAAUGGGCACGGGCCUCGCCGAUGGUCAUGGUGCAGUGCACCAGUGAGGGUGGCGCGGAGGAGGAGGAUGGUGGCGCCGACUCGUCGGCGGCGGCCGUCCUCCAUUGGGACGUCGUCGUCCUCCUGUUGCCUGCCGGCCAACCAGCUAGCAGCAAUGGCGGCCAUCUCCUUCUUCUGGUCCGGUGUCAGCCUGUCCCAGAGAGCUUUGGCGGGGGAGGAAUCCAUGGUAGGAGUGGUGCGGAGAGGGAUCGGAGGCGAAUGACUACGACUAUGGCCGGGGUAGCGGUUUAUAUAGCAAUGGCGGACGACAGAGGGACAGAUUUCUCCUAAUUUCUUUGGCGGGGGAGGAAGCCAUUUUUACUUAGGUCCAUUAUAUCACUUUGGACCUCUCCUAAUUUCUCAAGCAUUUGAACUCCCUUUUGUGAAAAAGGAGCGCACUUUAUGGUAUUAGAUUCUCAUUUCGUAAGAAUUCAUAGCGUCAUUUUCAAUGAAGUUUCUUUCAGCAACAUAAUAUGAAGUGCUCCUAUUUUGCAUGAUUAGACCUACAUAGAAAUUACUAAGAAGUAUUUUAAUUAUGGAUCUAUUAUGAGUGUCCAACAUUAUAAACUAGGCUUUAAUAUCUCCCCACUUCUUUGUUUAAAGUGAAGCACUUCUAGCUCGGGUGAAGUGGUAGGAAGUGAAUUACUAGCCAUGAUAACAAGGUUAAAAAAUGUAUAUAAUUCUUUCUUUUAAUUUUUUUAUGGUUUUUAAAUUUUUAGCAAGCAAAAAGGCAAACAAAUAGUAAAUAGAAAGUAACUAGGUAAGAUGAAUAACAAGAGAGAAAAGUGGUAAUGUGCAGGACCUAUUAAAGUUGGAAGAAAUUCCCCAACAACGGCACCCAAAAACUUGCUUGCACUCUCGUAAGAGUUGUUGGGUAACCACCCUNNNNNNNNNNNNNNNNNNNNNNNNNNNNNNNNNNNNNNNNNNNNNNNNNNNNNNNNNNNNNNNNNNNNNNNNNNNNNNNNNNNNNNNNNNNNNNNNNNNNNNNNNNNNNNNNNNNNNNNNNNNNNNNNNNNNNNNNNNNNNNNNNNNNNNNNNNNNNNNNNNNNNNNNNNNNNNNNNNNNNNNNNNNNNNNNNNNNNNNNNNNNNNNNNNNNNNNNNNNNNNNNNNNNNNNNNNNNNNNNNNNNNNNNNNNNNNNNNNNNNNNNNNNCAAAGGUUUAUCGAACCAGUAGGGAUUUCUUCAGCAACCUAAAUCGUCGGUACCUGCACACCAAACACAAAAUACUCUUCCCCCAGUGUUUCAAGAACGUUGUCAAGCUUCUUGUGCUGCUAGUUACAAGGAUAGAUUAUAUGGUAUGGUAGGAAUUGAUAAAUAGGACAAAAUAAUAAAUUGGAACAGCGAGAAAAGUAAUUAUAACGGUGUACAUAAUAACAUAAUAUAGAGUUAUGACUAUGAUCAUUCAUGGCACAAUCUCAUAUAGGCAUAAUGUCCACGAUAUGUAGGUCAUUAUCCAACUAGAACUAUAACUAAUACUCUACCUAAAGACCACUAUCCAGCAUGCAUCUCAAAGUAUUAAGUUCAUAAUAAAUAGUAGAGUACUACAAUAAGAAAGAUGACAUGAUGUAGACAGUAAAAUUAUCAUCCAAGUGUGAUAAAGAAACCAUCAUUUUAUCCUUAGAAGCAAGUAGCAACAAUACAAUUCGUGCUCAUUCCCUUUCUGUCACUGGGAUGGAUCACCGCAAGUUGUACCCACUACCGCACACAACUCCCUCUGAAGAACUACUUAUGAAACUUGAGUGAAGUAGACAAAUAGAUCAGAGAGCAUAUACGGCUAUCUAAUUACGCAGCAAAGAAUUCCCUCAAAAAAAAUUAUGCAGCAAAGAACUCAUAAUUGAUUCACUAUAGUUCAAUGAACAAUAUGAUCAUAAAGUGAUUGUUCAUCAUGUCCCAACAAACACAAAACCGCAUUACAUGAUAUGGAACCUGAUCAUGUGAGGCAACUCAUGGGAACUUUGUAUUGAAUCGCAAGAGAGAGAGGAUGCCAUCUAGCUAGUGCUAUCGACCCAAGGUCCUAAGGGAACUACUCACACAAGGUUGUGGUGGAAGCAAGGUUGAUGAAGAUGGCUCAGGUGAUUGAUUCCCUCUCCGGUAGGGUGUUGGAACAGGCCUCCAGAUUGGAUCUGAAAAUACAGGAACUUGCGGCGGUGGAAAAAGUCACGAAAAAAUGGUACAGAGAAUUUCUGGAAUUCUGGGAUCUAUAGGUAAAAGAUGACGAAAAGCAGUGGCUANNNNNNNNNNNNNNNNNNNNNNNNNNNNNNNNNNNNNNNNNNNNNNNNNNNNNNNNNNNNNNNNNNNNNNNNNNNNNNNNNNNNNNNNNNNNNNNNNNNNNNNNNNNNNNNNNNNNNNNNNNNNNNNNNNNNNNNNNNNNNNNNNNNNNNNNNNNNNNNNNNNNNNNNNNNNNNNNNNNNNNNNNNNNNNAUCCCCAAGUUAUUUUGAGCUCCGUAAAUACGGAUUUUCUGUAAAAUCAAAAACAUGCAGAAAACACCAACUAGCUCUACGCAUUGAACUAAAAGGUUAGUCUAGAAAAAUAAUAUAGAUUGAUACAAAAGUAUUCAAAAGUGAUAUUAUAAUAGCAUGAAAUAAUCAAAAAUAUAGAUAUGUAUGAGACUUAUCACGGGCCAAACUCGCUCAGCGACCAAAGCCCUCCGUCCUCCUCAUGUGAUUUGGCACACUGCGGACUCGCCCUCUCGGGAUUAUAGUUGGGGUCGUCCUCGGCACCACCAAUGUUGUCGUUGCCAUUGCCAUGGACAUCGUUGUUGUUGUUGUUGAUGAUGAUGAUGUUGCACGCACUGUCGUUUGGCGUGUUCACCAUGUAGCACUCGUAGGUCGAGGUCGCCUGCCAUUUACGUAAGGGCGCCAUGGCUGACGGGCGGUUGUCCGGGGUUUGGCCGACCUCCUCUUCCAUGUCUUCUGUCUCCUUGGAGGUUCCUUCGAGGAAGUCAGUGAGAACUUCGAUGUUGCCAACGAGAUGGGUGGUGGGUGAGUCAAAAAUGACUUCUUCCAGCAGCUCCAAGAUCCAAUCUGACGUCGAGAUCGGGAUACGCGGCCUCUGCUACCCUCGGUUCUUGUGAGACACUAAACCCGAGAAGAUUAUCACUCCGCAGCAAUUGGCGAUGUACUCCAUGUUGUCGAAUCUUACGAUCUGGCCUAGAGCGAAAGCCUGACCUGGUCGAGGUGGCCGGUUGAGUUAGCGAAAAGGGUGACACCGCGAAAGACAAACAUCUGCCUCGGCGGGAAGGUCGCGUUGGAACCGAUCUGAGUGUUGAUCUGAACUCUCAUCGAGUCACGGUGUUCACCUGCCAGGAGCUGCAUGGACCUCCACUGUCGGAGCUAAAUCCGUAAGAUCCCCUAGUAGGAUAUCAUAGUUAGGCGAGUUCGCACGAUAGUAAUAGGAGGCAAGGUCUACCCAGGUUCAAGCUCUCCAGAGGACAUAAUAUCCUAUGUCAUGCUUGUGUUUUAUUGUGUUGGAGUGUGUGCAAAAGUACAGGUAAACUACCAAGGGAUUCAAUAUGAUCUAUGACUAGCUCGACCCCUUGCUUGCACAACACCGGGGACUAGGGUUUACGCUACUAGGUCGGUCACGUCGAUGGAUACAGAGGCCUCCACGGAUCCGGUAUCUUCGAACUGUGCUCCAAGUCUUACGGAAUCUUCACAUAGUCCGCUAUGGGACGCCCAAAGUGGCCCUAGACAAAACCGACAAUGGGGGUCAUAGCCCGGCCCACCAAGCCGAGAACCGACAUGGUGAGGAUCCCCUUGAUACGUCUCCAAUGUAUCUAUACUUUUUUUUAUUGUUCCAUGCUAUUAUAGUAUCAAUCUUGGAUGUUUCAUAUGCAAUUAUAUAUCAAUUUUUGGGACUAACCUAUUAACCUAGUGCCAAGUGUCAGUUGUUGUUUUCUUGCCUGUUUUUUGGUUUUCCAGGAAAUCAGUACCAAACAGAGUCCAAACGGUACGAACCUUUUUGACCAUUUUUUUCUAGACAAGAGAGACCCUAGAAGCUUUGGGAGUAGGUCAGAAGGCAAAUGAGGAUACGGCAAGGCAACAGGGUGCGCCCAAGGGGUAGGCGUGCCAAAAUGCCUUGUGGGCCCCACAUGGCUCCGUCUGAUCUAAUUCCACCUUUAUAAAUUCUCUAAAAUCAAGAACCCAACAGAGAGCCAGUCAAAACACUUUUUCACUGCCGCAAGCUUCUGUUCUUUUGUGAUCCCAUCUGGAGGCCUUUUUCGGUACUCCGUCGAAGGGGAAUCAAUGACGGAGGGCUUCUACAUCAUCAAUCCUUGCUGCCUUCUAAUGAUGCGUGAGUAGUUUACCACAGACCUACGGGUCCAUAGCUAGUAGCUAGAUGACUUCUUCUCUCUCUUUGAUCUUUGAUACAAUGUCUCAUCGAUGUUCUUGGAGUUCUAUUCAAUAUAAGCUUCUUUUGCGGUGUGUUUGUUGGGAUCCGAUGAAUUAUGGAUUUAUGAUCAGAUUAUUCAUGGUAAAUAUUUGAGUCUUUUCUGAAUUCUUUUAUGCAUGAUUUAUAUAGCUUUGUAUUUCUCUCUGAUCUAUCUAUUUGGUUUAGCCAACUAGAUUGAUUUAUCUUGCAAUGGGAGAGGUGCUUUGUAAUGGGUUCAAUCUUGCGGUGCUCUAUAUCUCAGUGACAGAAGGGGACAAGAGACGUAUUUGUAUUGUUGCCGGGAACACGACGGGGUUUAUUCAUAUUGGCUGGAUUUACUUUGUCUACAUCAUGUCAUCUUGCUUAAGGCGUUACUCCGUUUUUAUUAACUUAAUACUCUAGAUGCAUUCUGGAUAGCGGUCGAUGGAUGGAGUAAUAUUAGUAGAUGCUGGCAGGAGUCGAUCUACUUGUCUCAGACGUGAUGCCUAUAUACAUGAUCAUUGUCUUAUAUAUCGUCAUAACUAUACAUUUUUUCUAUCAAUUGCCCAACAGUAAUUUGUUUACCAAUGUAUACCUUUUGUUCGAGAGAGAAGACUCUAGUGAAAACUAUGGCCCCCGGGUCUAAUUUUAUCCUAUAUAAAAUCCAAAAAUACCUUGCUGCAAUUUAUUUACCGUUCUUUUAUUUUGUGUUUUAUUUUAUUUACCUAUCACUACGAGAUUUGAUCCUUCCAAUUAACCGCCGAGGGUAUUGACAACCCCUUUGAUCGCGUUGAGUGCAAAUAUUUGUUUUUGUGUAUGUAGGUACUGUCAACGAGGAUUUGCGUGGUUCUCCUACUGGAUUGAUAAUAUUUGUAGUUUGAUAUUGUAGCCGGCAAAUAUUUGUAAUUCCAAUCGCCCAUAAGGAAAGAGUCACCAACACCUACAAUAUCAAACUAGUAUUACUUCUUUUUCGUUGGAUAUGUUUUAUAUUAUAUAAUUACUUUUACGUGGGACAUAAUGUUUUACUUUUGAGGAACCACCACAAUCUCUGUCUAUUUAUUUAGAAAAUAACUAGUCCAGAUUAUAUGAGAAUUUUGUAAUAAUUUUUUAGUCGACACAAUAUAAUUUCAUGAAAUCAAGUAGGAAUCGAGACAUGCUGCCAGGAUAUCUAUCCUAGCGCCCAUUGUUAACUCUUACUUUCUAAAUGCUCUUAAAUCUUCAUUAUUUUCUUAGUUACCUUUUAUCUAUUUUAUUUUUUGGGUUCUGGAUUUGUAAAGUUCUUGAUUAAGGAGUGCAAGUUUCCUAAAACUUUUUUUUGUGUCUGUUCUUGAUUUAUAGGGUUAUUAAUUUAAGGUUGGAUCGAUGCAUUAGUGUUUUAGGUUGGAUCAAUACGCAUUGUUUGUAACCUAGUUUUUUUGGUUGAGGAAGGAAAAUUUCAUUCUUAACUUUUUUAUCUAAUCAAUGUAUGUUAUUUUAUUGAUACGUUAUUUGAUUAUUUAUAUAAAAAAACUUUUUUGGUUUAACUAACAGCAUUAACACCUCAAAAUGCACAUUUAUAAUAAGGUACAAAUUUGUCAUUCAAUGAAUUUAUUCACCAUUACCAAAACAUUUGUUGUGCUACAUUGAAACUGUAUUUUGUUACAAAGCAUGUUUGUAUUAUUUAUUUAAUGGUGUUUAAGAAAAAUCAACUAUUACAUUUUUUUGACAAUAAAGCAAAGAGGAAACCGAUACUUUCACAUUAUUGCACCAAUUAACAUAUACCCUUUGACAUAUUAUAAUGUGUUUGUGUAUGUAACAUUAAAUAUCUUUAGAACUUGGUAGAGUGAUUUUAGAGUAUAUGGAUGUAAAAUAGCUUAAGAUGUAUGGAGUUCAAGACUGUGAAGUUUAACUGUAACUAAACAGAUAUUUCUAAAGUGCAUGAAGUGCCAAUCAAUAGUCAUCUCCUCAUUGGCUCUCGCUUUAGCAGGUCGAUUUCGGAACUACUUCCAUUUUGUGGAGAAUUACAUCUUCCAUUGUGUGCCAACCUGAUCCAAAACUCGUGGAUGGUGGUUCUCUCCUCCUUCUGGACUCGCUCUUUUUCUUUCUCGUGCAACUAACAGCUAGGGUUUCACCCGCACCACCUUCUAUCUCGAUAGUCGCUGCAACCAUCUACCAGUCUACCAGCCUGCUCGCACAGUACUAGCCGACAAAAAGGAGAAAUUGCAAGGAAGGGAAGACAUAAUCGCAUCACUUCCAUGCACUGCCACCUUGCCAGUGAUAGCCGUGUCUGUUGGAAAAGGCAGUGCCUAGGAGGCGUUUAGGCACGCCUAGGCGCUAGGCAAUGGCCAAACACCUCGCCUAGGGCAUAAAUGGAGGUCUAGGCAGGGCAAGCAAGGAAUUGCCUACUUAAGCAAGAAAUAAUGCCGCAUACUACACUGAUAUGUCAAACGGAUUGUAUUCCAAUGGCAGUAGAUGGUAAUUAAUUUAUUUAUAUGCCCUAAACUAAUAUCAACACCCAUAUAAUAAUCAUAAAUACACUACGAGUAAAAACUAUAUUACCGCCUAGGCUGCCCCUAGGGCGCUUAGGCACCGCCUAGGCACUAAGCAAAGGCCAACCGCCUCGCUUACGUCUACCGUUUUUUCUAACCUUAUGUGCACCAAUACAGUGCCUCGUAGUUGUCACUGCCUGUCAGAUGCGCCGCCAUGGCAAUGUUCACCAAAACCAGUGAGGGAGAGAAAGGUCGCGCCUCACACCACCUCGCAACGUGACAGAGCCAACGAGUAGUGCAUCCAGCUAGAUCCGCCUGAUCCAACAAACAUAGCUGAUGUCGAACUGCAUCAGCCCGGCGCCUGCCUACAUAUUCGAUCCGCAGAUAGGAUGUUGAAUCCACGCAUGACCACCACCGACAAGACGCCCACCUCAGGCGCACUCUCAGAGGUUGAUGGGGGCGUUGUCAAUGGGGUGAUACACCAUGUCCUCCUACGUCGCCAACGACAGCAUGUAGAGGACGUCACCUCGAGGAGUAUUUAACCAAAAACUACCACAUUUCAUGGAAACGUGUUGAAAAACUACCACUUUACGAUUUUGUGCGAAAAACUACCAUUUUUUCCUAAUCCGUGCCAAAAAACUACCAUGUCGCGAAAUCGCUUGCUUCGCCCGUGCUAAGCACAAAUCUGACCAGUUGGGCCCACGAACAUGGUGCCACCGUGGCCAUCCUUCGCGCCAGAGUUCACGGAAGCUUCCCUGCUCUCCGGCCGCCGCCAGCACGCCAUGCUCCCGCUCGCCGCCGCAAGGGCCUGCCUUUCCUCCCCGGCGCCUCCGCCGAGACCCCAACCCCGAGCGGCGCCUCUCUCCCCCCUUCACCGUCUCCGCUCCACUGCCACGCUGCCCAGACCCGCCAGGAUCCCCCUCCUCCGCCCGCUCGGGGCCACCGCGGGCGCCGGCGCGUCGUCGCGGCCCGCGAGGGACCGUGUGAUCGAGUUCGGCAAGCACAAGGGCCAGAUGCUAGGCACGCUGCCGCCGUCCUACCUGCGCUGGGUGGUCGCGGAGCUCGACUGCGGGGACACGCUGGUCUGGGCGCGCCUGGCGCGCGAGGUGCUCGACGACCCCGUCUAUGUCAACCGCGUCGAGUGGGAGCACGCGCACCGCUUCCUCCGCGGCGACUCCAAGUUCGACUACGUCUACGACGACGGCGACGGGCCCCUCCAGGAGAUGGCCGAGCGCUUCGGCUGGGAUCUCUCCGACGAGGACGGCUGGGCCGCCUCGACUUCCGCCUCCUCGACACCUCCUACGGUGGCCGCAUCCCGAGGAAGGCCGACCGGCGCCAGAGCACCGGCAGCGGCAGCGGCAGCAACAGAUCCCCCCACGGCGGCGGCGCCCUGUUCGACACCGGGGCGGCCGACCCGGACGGGCCGAGGGGGAAGAGGGACGAGAGGAGGGAGCGGACGCGGACGAGGAGGGAGGAGCAGGUGAGGACGGCGAAACUGGAUGUGCUCGGCGCGAAGGAUGGCCACGGUGGCAUUUGGUUCAUGGGCCCAACCGGUCAGAUUUGUGCUUAGCGCGGGCGAAGCGAGCGAUUUCGCGACUUGAUAGUUUUUUUGCCACGGAUUAGGAAAAAAGUGGUAGUUUUUUGCACAAAAUCGUAAAGUGGUAGUUUUUCGACACGCUUCCAUGAAAUGUGGUAGUUUUUGGUUAAAUACUCCACCUGGAGAGGUUGAUGGGAGAAGGGAAGGUCGAGCAAUGGGAGGGGUGGCAGAUGACAACGGUUCAGUCGGUUGAGACACCAUGGAGAGGAGGAAGACAGAUGUUGCACUCUUACAACAUCAGCUGAUCUAAACAAAGAUUCUGACGCUGUUCCAAUCUUUUUUUUUAUUAUUGUUGGGAAUGAAUCAAUACAAGGACGCCCUUCCUAUUAAUCAAGGAUUACAAAAACAAACCCUAGACCUAAACUCUCUCUCUCUCUCUCUCUUUUCUCUCACAUAGAAUACAUUCUACAAAAAAAACUCUUUCAGUGCUGCUUCUGGGGUUGCCAGUGUUGUGACAAGCGAAACCCCAAAAAGGCCCCACUGCAACCAGCCAAUACAAAUUUUGACUCGACCGACCGACCUCAACUUCCUAUAACCUACAAGGCGCGCACCUGCACCGCCUUUUCCGACUCGACAAAAACAGAGUUCCUCUCGUCACAUUUCAAUUCUUACCGCGCUACACUUUGAGCAGACCUGUAUAACCAGAGGACAGUAUACAACACCAGCCAACCAACCAACCCAGGCAGGCAGAAUCAAUCAACCAAUCGCAUCAUCAUAUAGGAAAUCACACAAUGUGCUACACCCGGGACACCUGAUUGCGCAAUCUCAUGCCCUUCCCUCCUUUUCUCAUGUUCAACUCCAGUGGUGAUUGUAUAGCAAGAACCGGUGGCGCAGGGCUCUCAGCGCCGUCAGACCCCGUAUCUCGCUAAUCUCUGCACCACUGCUGGUUCCAGGGUGGACAUGCACUGUUCCCAGCCGGCAGCUCCGAGCAUCUAGGAGGAAAGAAAGAUCACCGUCAGUUUCUUGCAUACAGCAUACACAAACUGAAACGACGACGACCACAAAAAGGCCCCGCUGUUUUUUACCUGCUUGUAGCCAUUCAAAAUCUGGGACACUUCAUUGUGCAAACCUUCGCUUUUUAUCUCCUGUGCACAGAUAAAAGUGAGCUCAUACAUGCGACGCUACUCUAGGCAUACGGAUGUAACAGAAACGACUAACUUACAUUCCAACUUGCACAGGCCUGGCAUACGUUGGCUAGUGAGCUCACAGCCCCUGUGGGGUUUGCUGCCACCUAGUGGUGCACACACAAGAGUUUUUGUUGUAAGUGACCAUUCGCAUCUAUGAAGAGUGUAAUAGCAAGUACUAUUAUGUAAAGAGCUGCGAGUUUACCAUUGCGCAAAGACCAUGGAACGCAUCCUCUUUCUCGAAAUCAUCUCUUAUCCUGUACAACAAGGAAAUUAACUCCGAGAAGCAUUGCACGAAAGCAUAAAGAAAAACCAUGCUCCACAUCUCAUAUGCAAUCAAACUACAAACAACAAAUCUUUGCCUAUAGCAUAAAAGCUACAGAAAGAAAAAAGGAAUGCUCACAUGCACAAGGCAUUGCACCAGGCUUGCAUGAAAUGCUCCAUAUGAGGGGCCACAAUGUCUGGACAGACCCAUGAAAGCCUCCCGAGAGUGAUCGCACUAUUUUCAAUGAGUGACUUAUUCAAGCUCUGUAAAUGGCACGACAAACAACACACUUAGCUGAAAUGAUCAGUCGCCUAGAGAACAUGAUGGGGAAAAAGGCAAUCACCUCUGGGGUUGUUAGAAUAGGAACCAAGCAUGAAACAACACUGAUCACCACAGGUGAAAUUUCCUUGCCAAUCUGCCAAGGAAUAGUCAAUCAGACAUGCAAGAAUUUUUACAAUAAUACUAAUGAGCACUAAGUAUGCUUGACUUUAAGGCACGAAACAGAGAGCACCCGCUGCCCACAACUCUUAUAUAUACAGUUUUGAAAUUGUUAUGGGGCAAGUAGCAAUACAUGUCAAAGGGCUGGCGCUACAAGUAGUAAACAAAGGUAUAUUCUGAGAAACUUUACAAUAAUGAUGAGCACUAGUACGUUUGACUUCCAGGCACAAAACAGAGAGCACCCACUGCCCACAACUUAUACAGGUAGAGUUUUGAAAUUGCUAUGGGGCAAGUGGCAGUACAUGUCAAACGACUGGAGCUACAAGUAGUAAACAAAAGGCAUAUGCUAAAAAACAACUCAAGGGAUAUGCAAAUAAUAUACUGGCCAAUAAUAAUACGCUUGGCACAAACCUUGAUUGCUAAUUCUCCAAUGGCCCAACAAGCAUUGUUGGCAACUGACACAGCAUCCUUCACAGAUUGUGGAGUCUAGAUCAAAGAAACAAUGUGAGGAACAAAUGGAGAUAAAAUAAUGCUGGACCACAAAGAACAUAGGCACUUAGUCACUUACCAAUUGCUUUGCUGCAGCAGUAAGGAAUUCUUGGAGGCGUGGCUGAAGAUGUAUAGGGCAGACCUAUAUACAAAAAGGUGUUAUAGUCUCAAAAUUGACAUAGCGAUGACAAAGAUCAGUUUAGGAGCUUUGCAACCAACCCUAGAAAUGUCGCCAAGAAGGGCCAGAGCACUUUGUCGAACAUCAGGUGCCUCAUCCACGCAGCAUUGCAGAAGUAGAUCUCUCAAGUUGCUUUGUGCAACCUAAAACAAAGAUAAAGAUAGCUUGCCCAAUAAGAAAGUCUUCCUGGUAUGAUAAAAUUUACUAGCCAAACUCAACUCACUGUCAGUACUGUGUAAGGGGUGUAUGAGCCUUAACGAGUGUGUAUUUUAGCAUAUUAUGAAGAACAUGUACUACAUGAUACUAAUAAAUUUAAUUUUCUUUUCGCCAUAAGUUGCCAGCACAUGCAGCCCCCUCAAAUUACUGAGGUAGUUCGAUGUUGAGAACGUGAUGCAGGAAAAGUGAAUAUCAUUGAUGGGAGAGUUGAAUUUACCAGACUUUCAAUACCGCCACCAAGUCCUUCUGUAAGUCCAGACAACAGGUCCAAUGCACAGACAAUGAAUUCCUUAUCAUACAACGCACCUGCUGCAGCAGGAUCAACCUGCAUGUAGAAAGGAGAUAUCCCUUAAGCAACAGAACCGGAUGAGCUUGUCUCAUGUAUUAAACCCUAUAGCAAGCUCCAGCAAAGAUUGAUGUCAAAUUGGCAAACAGAUUGAUUUUUAAGUUGGCAUAAUCCAGGGUACUUAAAAGAUCGGAGUACCAGAAACCAAGCAAACAGGAGAAGAAAAUCUCUAUGCUUAAGACUACAAAACUUAUGACAGAUGUUCACAGAAUGUGACUCUAAUUAGGAGCAACUUCAUCAAGUGUCUUCUAUACCAACAAGAAUGAUGAAGAUAAAUUGUGUAUGUGGUUUUCACCAAUUCGUACAAAUACAAGAAGGUAUAGGCUGAAAAGAUCCUACUUGAGAUCAUAAUAUUAUUAUUAAUUCCUCUUCCAUAAAUGACCAAAAAAGACACAUUAAGCAUUCAGUGAUGAACACUGCAUUAUUAAGGCAUCAAUUAAGACAAAAAAAUUGCUUGUUAGAGCAUGGGAAUGUGUUUGUGCCUUUGUGGUUAGACUUGAUGUACAGAUCAUAGUAGAUAUUUAAGUUAAAUCUACCCUUAAAGUGGAAGGGGAAGGGGGGGGGGAUUGUGCAGACCUUUGCCAACUGCUGAGUUUGGAUAAGACUGAUGCACCUCACAAACACUGGCUCAGCAAACUGAGAAAAUCCUGGUCCCAGUGCCUGAAAGGAAAAGGUCCAUAGGAAUUCCUAAUGUUAUUUUGAGUACAAUAAGACAGGAUUCAACAGAGGUUAUUUAAGAGGCCACUCAUCCUGUCCUGACCCACAAUGAAAUGCAAAGUAAUUCUGCUUUGGUAGAACGAGAACUAACUAACUCAGCAAACCAAUUGCUGCAGUAGGAGUUAUAUUGGAUGAAAAAGACAUGCGCGAGAACUUUACACAUUCUUGUAGUACAGUAUCAAGAUAGGCAACUGUUAGCAGUACUACAGAUCUUUCACAUAGAUACAACAAGUAAAGACUUCAAAACGAGUACAAGCUAGUCACAGAUGAAAAUAUUAGCAAUACCUGUGCAAUAGAUGUAAAGCAUUCAAGUAGCGGAAAUAGAUCCUUGUCAGAGUUGGGAAGUUGCUGCCACUUCGCGAUUAAUGGUGGCAUAAAUAUAUCAAGAUAUUUUGCCUGCAUGACAUCAUUUAGAAGGGAUUAAUAAUCUUGAUAAGGAACUAACACCAUGGAAAACUGAAUGAGGAAACCAUCAAAGAAGUUUAUUUGAUAAGUCAAAGAACAAGCAAAAGGGGAAUUUAUCAAAUGUUGAACCUGGUUUAGCUCUGCUCCAACAGCAUCAGCAAGGGUACCAAGAGCGUCAUAGAGUAUCCUAAGGUUCCGCCUCUGCUCAGAAGGAAAACAUAGCAUUAGAACUAAGAAGUGAACUUGCCCCGUUUCGGUAUACAAGGUCAACCUCGUGUUUGAGUCUAACUACCAUGAACUUGGACAGGUGGUCUUGUAUAGCGAAAUGGAGGGAAUAGCUGAUUGCAAACUAUAAAUGUUUGAAAUCUAAUGAACCUGGUAUUUUCCAUAUGCACACAUAAGGUGCUGCAAAAUGACUUCCAGUCGCGGUACUAGUUCUUCUGCAGCCUCCUGAAGAACAGAAGCCAAUAUGUCAUAAUUAGUAAUUACACACAAGAUCUCAGUGCAGGAAAUCAACUCAAAAAUAGAUAAAGAACCUCUUCAAGCGUUGCAAAUGCAGAACAGGCAGCCUCCUGCACUCUUUUGUUAGUAUCCAAUAUCCUUCUAAGCAAACCCAUGAGAAUCUUAUCAAAUUGUUCGCGACCAUUUGGAUGGCCAAGGCUCUGCGCCAGCAAAAAAAGAAGUGUAAUAAGAAGUUAAGAGAGACAAAUCUACGAACUGAGGACACAUAAACAAAGUCCACUUCAGUAAAACAUUGUCUGAAGUCCACAGUAGAACCCUUUGGGUACCUACCCCCGGAAACAUUAGAGACCACUGGGUGUAUACAUUGAAGUGAGUGGUUCACCAGUACAGGCUUAAAUACACAACAUAUUAUACAUGUACCAACGCAACCAAAAAUGCUACAUGUUCUAAUGGCACUACAUGGUAGGUAGAAAAAAAUCAAGCCUUUGCAGGAAAAGGUAUACUUCCAAACAGACGAUGUAGCAUCAAUACAUAUGAUUAUUCUGUUACCUGAACAAUGAACUUGCUGUAUCGGGAGAGGGUCCAGCAAGUAAUACUCCGAAUAAGAGGAAACUUAUCAUCGAGAAGUGGGAUUAGGAAGGCAACCAUCUGCAAUGGAACAGAACAUCUCAGAAAAGAUACAGCAAACUGCAAGCGAUGUAGAGAGAUAGUUGAAGACAGGAAAAGUAAUAAUUGAACCGCAACUCACUAGAGUCCAAAAUCUCACAGAUAACACAGAUCAUGGAAGAAUGUGAAAUUUAUCAUGCAGGAACUAUUAAUGCAACUGAAUUUUUUAAAAGAUUUUAUCACAUGCUGAGAAGAAAAUUCUCAGAUAUGUUAUAGAAGGUUCAUGAGAGAAGCAAGUAAUCAGGCUAAUUAAAAUGCUUCUGAAGACUAAAUUCAGGAAAAUUAUCAGCCAUGGUCGUCUCAAUAUGAUUUGAUGCAUGGCAUGUGUUCUUGCUGUUACUGAGGCUUAGUCAAGAGAGGAAUUGCUUUCUUGCAACGUAUAUGGGGCUAUGAAUAUGUCGUUGGUUACCUGUGGAAGGUGGGGAUAUAACCCAGUGAUGCAUCCCUCUGCUAUAGCACCAAUCGAUAAAACAGCAGCUUCCCGCUCCUUCCAGGACUCAUCAUCUGUCCGAGCCAAAUUUUGCUGCAAAAUUGCAGAAGUUGAUGUAUGGUUAUCCAACGGGUUCAAGAGCAGCACUAAAUAUUGUACCAAGCACCAAUUAUAACAGAAAGGCCCUUGAACACACACAUGGGCCAAAAAAGCCUAUCGUACCAUGGGUGAGAUUAUGCAAACUUCCAGUUACUAGAGACCUACCGGCUACCGCAGUAACAGGUUUCAGGGUUUGGAUUUUACACCUUUGACAACAGUGCAGCUUUAGAUAAUAGUACUCCAGCUUUUAAGUUAUCUGUGCCACUGACUACCAGCAGCCUACUGCCUACAUCAAGACAAAUCAUAACUGGCACACUUAAGCCACUGUCCUGAAUCGUUUCUAAGGAGCCUGACCUACUCUACUUCUAUGUGAACUCAAGGCCCAUAGUAACUGUAAACUUACUAUAACAGGUCAGGGGAAGUGGCCGGACCCUUCCCCGAAACCUGCGCAAACGGGAGCUACAUGCACCGGGCUGCCCCUUUUUUUGAGUAACAAUUCAAGGCUUCAAGUCAGUGAAGCAUUGCAACCUCAACUAAGAUCAACAGUUUAUAAGCUUUAUAGUCUCCAGAACUACGAAUAGAUUACCUGAAUCAAAGGCAUUAAAGUCGGAAGAAUGUCGUCCCCAAAAACAUUAGAAAGGACAUCCAACCCAGCAGCGCUACAUUUCCGCAAGUUCCAAGCAUUUACAGCAUCAUCAUCAUCCUGUCCAUAUGGUCAUUAAGUUUUUGCAGCUUUAAAUUAACAAGUAGGCAAAAAAGUAAUUAGGCGGCUUAAAAAAAUGUUUCCAAACUCACAUCCUCUUCUCCAUUUUCAGAUCCAUGCAACCGAGAGGCAUGGAAACGGGGCUUCAAAUCCUGUUACAAAAUCAUCUGUAUCUUAUUUCAAGCAACAAAAAAGGGCAGAAGUCAUAAAGAUGUACAACUUACGAUGAGGGCUAUAGUAACUGUAAACUUACUGCCACCCUUCAUUUCAAGACUGUCAAUCUAAUUUAUUUUACAGCAAGGCAAAUUACAACAUGCGUGCUAAACAACCAUUGCAUUGUUCUUAACAUGCUAUUUGUAAAUACUACCAAAAGCGACUAACUUCUAUGUGUUUCACAGUUCAAAAUUACAGGACUAUGUUCAAUGCAUUACAGCAUUAUACUGACCAAAAACACAAGUCUCAUCCAAAAUAUAAUUACAGAUUACAGAUGAAUAGAGCCAACCAUUUAAUCUUAGCAGCUACCAUUGAAAACAUAUAAUUACAGAUUACACAUGCAUGGAGCCAACCAUUUAAUCUAGCAGCUAUCACUGAAACAUAUAAUUACAGAAAAAGAAAAGGUAACCAACCUGGUCCCUGUCCGGAAAGGAUUCGUCUUCCUGAAAACACAUAAUAUUUAUCAGAGCAUGCCACUAUCACACAAUAACCAGCUGAGACAUGCAGGAUAUAAAGAAGUUUACCACACACCUCAGCAUCAGCGAGUGAUUCAUCAUCGUCAGUGUAGACCAUAUUUGACACCAAAGUCUAGGAAAUAAAUACAAAGGGAAGAUGUUAAAACUGUAGACAGACCAAAGAUUAAGCAGCAUUAGCUUAGACAAGGCAAAUCAUAUACUGGUAUUAAGCGUGGCAAGAACUCCCGCAGUCCUUCAGGGGGCAUGCUAACAUCACAAUAUGCUGACCUGAAAAGGUUUACUUAUAGUCAGUCCUCUAAUAAUUCAACACAAUCAGUAAGUAAUGUCAUCAGUGCCUCAUAGUUUAUUUUGAACUUGAAGGAUGUCAGCCGAAUAAAAUGUGAGAACACAUAGGCAUGAGCAGCAAAAAUUAUAGUACGAAAUUUGAAAUUGACAUGUUAAAUUUACCAUGUGGACAGAACGCAUACCAGAAUUCACAAGCCUCCAGAGCAACUUCAUCAUCCGAAUCUUUGUUAGCUUGCAGGAUCAAUUCAGUAACAUUUUUCAAAUGUGGCUGCAGUUUUGCUAUCAAUUGUCAGAUUCAGCAUAAGCAAAUGAGUUAUCUGACUACAAAUUACUUGGUGACAACAGCAAAUGGAAUCUAAAUGGGUAUCAAAGAACAUGAUAAAUUACCUCCAAAAUUGAUGGUCGCACUUCAAUGAGCUGAACCCAGGCCGAGCAAACCUAUCAAAGAAACAAGGAGAACAAUCAAGACAAAAAUGAAAUUGAACAACUAAACUAUGCUGAGCAGUACUCAUACACCCUCAUUAUUAGCACUUGUGGACAAGUCGGCCAUGUCCAGAUCUCUAACAGCAUAAUAGGAAUCUACUGAGUUAUGCAAUAGUUGCAUUUAUAGCAUUUAAACCCUUAUCAGUACAAGUCUACAACUACAAGAUUACAAAGAAAAAGUGCAUGGGUGCACAUGUAAAUCGUUAAAAUGAAAUACCAGCUUCCGGACAUCCGCUGAAGGAUCCUUCACAAGGACGAAUAAGCCCUGCAGGUACUGAUCCAUGGCCAUGUACAACGCCUGCAUAUAAAUCGAAAUGGUUAGACAAAAAAAGCAGGAUUAGAUGGACAGGAGGGAGGGACUCAUACCGAUGGCAUCACCACGAUAUACUGGUUGAUACAGCCCAGUGAUAGUUUCCGAAGACUUGCAUGCGGGGACUGGAAAAACUGAAAAAAAGCAAUCAUAUUGGCUGUGUUAGAGGAAAACCAUGUAGAUGUGUUAAACUAGAGCAUACAAACAUGUGCACCACAGAGGCAUGCUUGGUCAAAAUAUACAGGCAGCAAAUUCAAGAAUUACAGGGUGUGCAAGUGAAAGUGCACACCCUCUACUUUAACUGUUGCUGACUAUAGAUUGAACACAAACCUGCAGCAUUCGUGGCAUGAAUACAUUAAUUGGUCGUUCAGACAAGCCAGGAACAUCGACAUCAAGCUCUUCAGGAACAUCUUCACAUAUCUGCGGGCAGAAACAAAAGCAAGCUUCAGACUUUCAGAGCACACUAAUCAUGUUCAGAAGUUAACACAUACGAUUUACAUUGCUAGUGGGACUUCCAUAGAUGUGGGCAUUUGAAAAAGUCCACUCUUUUCUCAAGAUAUACAUUGUUUGAGAACAUGUAGAUUGUCAGUCAAAGUAUAUCUAAUUCUGUGCACACAAAAAGGGCAAGGUUUUUGGGUCUGAAAAUAACUACAAGUGCACAAAGUAUUUUUUGCACAGCACAGAUCGACAUGGUUUUGGACCAAAGUUAGAGAUUUCACUUAAUAUACCAAUGUACAUGCAAAUUGUUCUUCAGAUAUUUUCAAAACAGGGAAGUGGGCAAAAGCAACCAGGUGUGCAUCCACCAAUGCAUUUCCGACUUCCCUCAAACCAUAUAGCUGCAACUAGUGGUAGUUCUCUAUGCACCGAAAUACAGAUUAGAAUUCAAACUCAAAUAUAGAAGGAGUAAUGCAUAGUACCUUGUAGAUAGCAUCCAUAGCACCUUCCAUAUGAUCCAGAUCAUUACUGUCCAAACAUUGAUGUAGGGCCUGAAACAACUCGAUCCAUCCAGUAACUCCAACAAUUUGAAAAAGUACACUGAUAACUGUUCCAACUGUGGACCUAAUUGCCCUGUUAUUUGCCCCUAUACAUGGCAACAACUCUGAUUUGAUGUAUUGCUGAGAUGACGGAGGCAUGGAAACAAAAGCCGCCCGCAGAUUGUUUUUCAAUAGAAGACCGGCAGCUUGACGUACUUCAAAAGAUUUUCCCUGAUAUAAGCAGAAGAGUUACCCAGAUGUCAGCAAGACCUAUAUACAGUAGCUGGAUUAACAGUCAUAACCAUGUAAUGAAUUCAAGACCAAAAUUAACUCAUAGGCCGACAAUCAACAGACUUACUGAAAGCUAAAUCUACAUGAGAUGUGAACCCGUAUAAAAAAGGAUAAAAUAUUGUUCAAAAAAGAAAUCUAAUAAAAAAGGAAACCAUGUUUUCUCGUCUUAACUUUUUAUAGAGUCUUUGUGCUUUCAUUGAACAAAUAACAUGCCAGAAACUGAGAGACAUGAUACAGUUAAUUGUUUAACAUAUUGAUGCCUGAGUUGUUAUCUGAUAUAAAAUUAAAUUUGGCAAUAGCAUUACACGUGCAAUGUGCCAGUUGCACAGACGGGAAAGUUACAUAGAAGAUCAUAUUCAAUAAAUUAUUUCUUCAGUAGUACCCGAGACCACGUUAUCAUUGCAGACAUGUGUUCUAUCAAAUCCUUGAAGCGUAACUGAUAGCUUCAAUUCUAUCUGUAGCUCUAAGUAGCACGCGAGAGCGGUGUUCUAAAUAGUUGUCAACCCGCCUUUGAGCACAUAUGGUGCUGUCCGAGCCCACCAUAAGUCAAACCUCACUGACAAUACAUAUAGAAUAUAGAUCAAGCAACUAAGUGGAAACGCAUCGAGUUUCCAGGCGCUGGUCUUCCGGAACCGCAUUGUCCUUCCGGGACCAUGUGCCUUUCAUUCAAUCACUUGAUUCACAGAUGUAACUGACUUGAUCGUUCAUCCAUAAAUCAUAUGCGUCUGCGCUGGCAGGUGGUAUCGACAUGAAACGUAACCCCCCAGAGACUCGGUAUCAGCCAAAAUAACUUUACCAAGAGCGGAUGCAUCACACGUUCGCAGAACCCCAAUUAAACCCGGCCCCGUAGCAGCACGACAAAUUGACCACCACCAGCACAUUUGUUCAAACCAAAGAGCCGCACCACGAAACCCUCGCUGAUUGGUUCAGCGGAUUCAUCGGACACACCCGUUGAAAAUAAGCAGGCAGUGCAGAAAGUGAAACUCCAGACACGACCGUCAAAUCUAUGCGGCAGCCAAGCAGAUGCACUCAGCAUUUCGCCCCCAAAACCCCAGAUGCUAUUGGCAUUCCGUCCGCUGGGCUUGUCACAUGGGAGCCAAUCCGAGCCCUAUCCCACCAAUCAGACAUUGCAACAGGCAGACCUAGCAGCGGGAUUCUAGAUCGAAACAGGCAGCGCGCAGGCGGGGACCCCAUUAUUAUCCGGUCCCUGGAGCAUCAGAGGGCGGCUCGGACUAAAACCCUAGCGCGACGGGGCACGGGAAGCAGGCGAGCGAGCGACGGAGGACGGCGGCGAGGGGAUAAGGGGGGCGGCGGGCGGAGACGGCGUGGUGUUACCUGGCCGCGGGCGAGGAGGAAGACGAGGUAGUUGUUGAAGUCGGGGAACUGGGCGUAGUGCUGGAGCUGCUGCCAGAUGCGGGCCUGGUCCGAGUUGGGGGAGAUGUGCGCCUCCAGCACCGCGCAGAUCUCGCGCAGCCCCUCCUCCUGCGGCUGCCACAGCGCCGCCGCCCCGGUCGCCCCCGCCGCGGUCGCCAUCGCCGACGGUGCGCGCGCCUCGCCCGGUGGACCUGCGUUGGGUGGCGGCGGGAGAGCGGGUGCUACGGCCGACGAGGCGCGCGGCGCGGCGGAGGAGAGGGGAGCGGGGGAGGAGUGAAUCGGCGGCGGCGGCGGGAGGCGGAGGGGAGUCGAUCGUCCAACCACAGCGGGCCAAGUAGUACUCUGGAGAGGGAGCAGCAGGGGAAGGGGGAGAAGGAGGAUGCGCUGGCAAGUUUAUAGAUAGGAUCUUUGCUUCUUCCGAUUUUGCUCUUUGCUUCUUGCCCUUGUUGUGAUUGUUUGGGCUUUUUUGGAGGGGGCUGGGUGCAAAUGUGUCUGUGCCAUCAUCAUUGUGGCAAAUUAAGGUUCUAGUGUCUUCAAGUGCAAACUACCUUCACACAAGAUGGUUGUGCUUUUCACAUGCAAGGAAACAAAUAUCUCCGGCUCAUGGUGGAGACAACAAAAUCUUAUGCGAAAUUUUCAAAUUGAGUUGGAUUUCCAUCGGUGGUGAUUAGUUGUGGUUGGAUUCGCGUCCCCUCGCAGUCGGUUCCUCGCUCACACGCCAUGCAUCUCGUGUACCCUCCUCCCCCCGCCCCUUGUUUCUUUCCGCGUCAACGAUAGGGUUUGACAUUCUGUUUCUAGAAGAUUAUUAUUAUUUUCUUUUGAAACCCUUUUUUAGGCAUUUCGGGCUUUCGGGCCGAAAUCUAGAGUUGAGCCGAGCCCGACACUAUCGGGUAGGGAUCCCCAUGUGGAGAUCCUAGUGGACAGAUCGAAAGCUUAUGUGGAAAUUACGGCAGGGUAAACAGAUACUGAUGUGUAAGAUUUUAAAGUUGGUACGUUGUUCCGAUCGUUUUCCCCUCGUCAUCAAAUGGAUGUCCACAUGAUCGUGCACGCAACAGCUUAGAUAUUUUCCUACUCACGUUUUGUGCAGCCAUGUCUGUGACACACGGUGGGUGCUCCACGUGGCGAGAACCAAUUGGCGUCCGUCCUGGCUCGACCCGACAAUGCAGGCGAACAGUAAAAACACUCGCUGCGGUCGCUCGUGCAAGUGUCAACUCCAACAGUGUACUCCCUCCGUUCCUAAAUACUUGUCUUUCUAGGCAUUUCAAAUGAAUAUCACAUACGUAUGUAUGUAGACAUAUUUUAGAGCGUAGAUUCACUCAUUUUACUCCGUAUGUAGUCACUUGUUGAAAUGCCUAGAAAGACAAGUAUUUAGGAACGGAGGGAGUAGUUAUGUUCCCUCCGUGGAGCUCAUGUGAAAAUAAACUACUAAAAAUUACUGCUGGGCUGGCUGGCUCUUUCUUUCUUCACCCUUUUCACUGUCACCGCACCCUGAGUGGCUAGCUAGCUAGCUACUAGAUUCCAGUCCAAAGAGAGAAUGACAUAAAAAACGUGCACACAACAAACUCCCUAGGUGAGUGAGAAGAGAACAUUCUCUUCUCUCACAAAUAACAUCAGGAAAUGACAUGACACGACGCAGAUUAAUUGGAAGUUGAAGACACUGUUAGACACUAAUCAUCGUAGAUUAGAUUAGAUUAGAUAGGUGCGCCGUUAAUCAUGGAUUAGUGCUACUGCUCAUCGAUUGGUUCAAGGCCAGCUUGACAUAGUAGUAGUAUGAUUGAUGCCGGUGGCCACAUGGAUGAUGGAUGAUGGCGCACACGUGGCUUUUCCGACCCGCGAUCAUUGACAGGCAUCGAAAGGCACUGUUCACCGCCUAAAUCUGUGCAAGAUCAUAGUAAUUUUUCAUGGUUUAAGAAUGCAGUGAUAAAGCGGACGCACGAUCUCCGGAUGGAAAAGGCGGGUGUUUUACAGCUGGAAAUUUUACUGGGGACGGACGCAAAGCAACGCGGGGAAAAGCAAAGUGGAGGCGGCCUGGUGAAAUCAUUCGAGGAUGACCGAGGUAAAAAGAUGGGCGCGGUUAAUGGAAAUGCAACAAGCCACGAUAAUGAACAAACGUACGUGAGUCAUGAAAAGUAACGGUGGGUGAAGGAAGGAGAUGAUUUGGAGGCACCACAGCUUUUGGUUCCUCCUACCAUCCUAUAUAUCCUGUCGUCCUGCACGUCAUAAUCAAACGUCACGUGCUCACGUUUCACCCACCUCAAAUUUUCAGUAUUUCUUUAUUAUUUAUUAUUAUUAUUAACAAAAAAUGAAAGUGGUGUCAUUGCAUCUCUAAUGCUGACCCUUAAACCACCCGCAUCCAUCUGGAGCGGGCUGUGCGGACGUGUUUGGCCAUCCAACAUGUACCACACCCUCUCGGUCCCCUUUUUUUCACUCCGCCCCCGCUCCCCCUCCCUUUCAUCCACACUCUCAUCGCCCGCCGCCGCCCAAGCAUCCUUGGACAUCCACAUACCCCACUCACGCACCUGUCUACCAUGCACUACGUCGCUGUCCACCUAGGAAUUCCUCAGCAGUCAACUGCCCUCCCCACCCUUGCCGAUGCCGUCCAUGACGGACAACACGCCUGGCAGGUGUUCGGUCAAAUGCCAUUGAGUUUUUUUUCUUGAACUUCUUGUUGUUUUCUAAAGAAGCACGAUGACAGGGUACUUGGUGAUAGAGAAUGGGUUGAUGUGCGAUGCGUGGUUGGCUAUUUCUGCGGACUUUGUAGACAUGCACAAGGGCCCGGCCUUUUGGCAAAGCUUGACGUGGUUGGCCAUUUCAUAAGCGAAGGAACUUUCCACCGCAUGAUAUGCAAGUCAUCCAUGAACGCAAUGUGACGUCGGUAACACAUCACUAUCCACCAUCUUCAACUCCGUCAUGAAGUUUUAUGGUCCGAUUCACUAAGUGGAGACAAGAGGUGGCCAUUGGGCUCGUCAACCAUGGAGAUCGUAAGUGUUACUUCAUGUUACUCUACAUGUUGAUUAAUUCAUUCAUUCACUCAAUGUUGCUCUACACGUUGUAUAGCUUGCACACACUGCCAUCAUGUACUACAAGACCGAGGGCAGGUCAUUCACGCACAUACAUUAUUGGAUGAAGCUCAAGGGGCAGUUUGUGUGAAACGACAUGUGCCGGCUCCGACUCUACUGUUGUUGAAUUUGUAAUAGAUGAUUUCCAAAAACUUGUUGAACAUCCAGUUAACUCCUUGAAUUUGAACAUCUAGUUCUUUCGUUGAAUUUGUAAUAGAUGAUUUAAAAAAAAUUGUAACNNNNNNNNNNNNNNNNNNNNNNNNNNNNNNNNNNNNNNNNNNNNNNNNNNNNNNNNNNNNNNNNNNNNNNNNNNNNNNNNNNNNNNNNNNNNNNNNNNNNNNNNNNNNNNNNNNNNNNNNNNNNNNNNNNNNNNNNNNNNNNNNNNNNNNNNNNNNNNNNNNNNNNNNNNNNNNNNNNNNNNNNNNNNNNNNNNNNNNNNNNNNNNNNNNNNNNNNNNNNNNNNNNNNNNNNNNNNNNNNNNNNNNNNNNNNNNNNNNNNNNNNNNNNNNNNNNNNNNNNNNNNNNNNNNNNNNNNNNNNNNNNNNNNNNNNGAGGUCGGUCAUUGUCGUUGCUCCCGGCGAUAGCGACGAGGCGGCGGUGGCGAGGUUUGCAAGGGAGCAUCCGGAGAAUCUCCUGGCCGAGUGAGAGUUCUACUGGAAUCACGAAGAAGAAGAAGAAGAGUUUGACUCAGCGGAGUACUAGGAGCCCUCGAAGAGGGACGACGAGGUGCGACGACCCCAGCAAGGACGAGUUCUUGUUGGAGCAGUUCAAGUGCUCCGACGAGGACUAGUUUCAUCUUCGAGUAGUAGUAAUUUGAUGGAUGUAGUAGUAGUCGUUUAAUUUAUGCUUUAUUUCGAACUAUGUUUAAUUAUGUUUGAAAUGAAGUAGUACUUGAAUUUGUUAUGUUUGAAUUCGUGUUUCAAAUGAAGUAGUAGUUGAAGUUUCGUGUUUUUACAUCUUCAAUUCGCAUCAUCUAUUGGAGUUCACUUGUACAUCACCAAUAUACAUCAUCUAUUGAAGUUGCCUUUUUCUUGGAGAUGUAAAAUGCACUUUUUGAUGAUGUAAAUUAUACAUCUCCUAGUUUUACACCUUCAAAUUUACAACAUCUAUUGAAGAUGCUCUAAGGUACCAAGCACGACGCCUUAUCCCUGCGAACAACAAGCGUCGGUGGUGUUGGUACCCACUAACCCACAGAUUUUUAUUAAACAAAAAAGCUUGUCAAGCGCAGUGCAGGUCAGGAACACUAGCCCAAUGUUUAGAGCAACUCUAGCAGGCCCCUUAAACCGAGAUAAGGGCCGAGAAAAACGCGUGGGAUAUUCUCUUUUACCGCUGGACUUAGCAGCUCUGUUCGGCCGCAGCCGAUUUCGCCCCUCAAACCGUAAAACCACACGAUGCAAUUGACCAUGAUUUUGACAAAUAAAACACAAAUUCGGAGAACUCAAACACAGUUUUGACGACAUUGAACAUAGUUUUCGCGCCACAUCCCCAAAAAAUCGCAUCCAUCAUCGCUCCAUCAUCAUCAUCACAAGAUGAAAUCUUCAGCGCCACCAUUGGCACCACCACUUGCUGAACCACCACCGAACAUUGGCACUGCAUCAUCUCUUGCGGCCAUCCUCCUCCUCUCCAAGAUCUCCAACCUUGCAAUAUCAUGCCAUUCUUUGGUGACCUCAUCCAUCUCAUUUCAAUUCAUCAUCAUAAUCUUGUUCUCCUCGGCAAGAAGCUUGGCCAUGGCUUUGUUCUCGUCUGCUAUGGCUCUUCUCUCCUCAAUGGUGGCCUUGCGCAUGGUCUCCUCCUUGAGUAGUUACCACUUCUCUUGCUUCUCUUGAGCCUUCUUCUCAGCCAACUCCUUUUUUGCCUCCAAUGUCAAUAGCUCAUUGGACUUGACCAUGUGAUCUAGCUUGUCCUGCAAGCUUGAAGCCUUCGCUUCCUUCUUGAUCUUGUCCUUGGCCUUUUUGUUUUCAUCGGGCUUGUUUUUGUUUCUUGGGCCAUCGUCAUCUUCAUCAUCAUCAAUCUUGGUGAGUGCACGUCUCUUUGGUGGGGAUUCUUUGUGAAUCAACUUUCACUUCUCGCUUUCCUUGAGAAGUUCCCAACAAUGCUCUAGUUGAAAUGCCUUCUUACCGGAAGCUUCCAUGUCUUUGUACCUCUCUUGUGCAAUUUUGUCCUACAAAAUGAAAAUAAUGUCAACUUAUGCAACCACUCCGACGGCUACAAAAGAUUUGCACAACUUGGGACAUGAAAACAAACUCACAUAGUCGGAUUCAACGGUGCCGCUUGGAGGUGCAUUGCGGACUCAAAGAAGAAGAAGACGACACUAUAGAGCGAGGGAGCAUGAAGAAAGAAACAAUGUGAUGCAAACAAGAAAUCAAAAACAGGUUUGCAUUGUACUAGUAGUGUAAAAAUAAAGACAAGUGGCAUGGAGUUUUUGAACCUGAGCUCACAUGCUCUCCGGUGAACAGUAAAACCCGAAAAAUAGUAACAAAAUUGAAAAAAUCUGAUUUUUUUUGUGUGUGUGGUGAAACGACAUUCAUCGAGUCCUGGGCGGAAAAGAAAAGAAAUCGAUGCUCCGUAAAACCAUUGUUGGAACCAUCAUCUGUUUCGUAUUUUUUUUUGUCCAGACCUCCACGAAUAUCAUGUCAUCGCAAACAAUUCAAGGCAUUUAAAACAUUCAACAAUGUUUAUCAUUAAAAAAAUUCAGAUUUUCUUGUUUUCUAUUAGAAAAAAGAUUUCACUGUUCAUUAUAGAGCAUCGCAUGCACAAAACAGGCGGGCCCCGCAUGCACGCGCGCUGAGGCAACGGGGGGACGCACGCAUGGGCGCUCUGCCUUUUUCCUCCAUCUGCUGCUGCUUUCAGGGGAUGCAACCAUCCUUUUAUUGUUUCUUUAUUAUUAUUAGCGGCGGCAGCAGCAGUGACGAGUCUGCUUAAACAAAACAAAACUUGCUUAAACACGUAUUCCCUUUCGUCCGGAAUUAUUUGUCACAAAAAUGAAUAAAAGUAUAUCUACAACUAGAAUACAUUUAGAAAAGUAAUUUCGGACGGAGGAAGGAAAUACGUACAUACAUCAGGCCCCUUUCCCUUCCUUAAUCGGGGAAGACGGCCCAAAUGCUUUGCUUUUGCGUAAAGGGCGAGGGAUUGUUCCCUGCCACUGCGACACACCUACACCACAUAACCAUGCAUCAGUACAGAGGCUGGAUGGGGAUGGGAUGGCCCGGGUUGCAUUGCAUGCCAUGGAAUAUAUACUCUUUGUUACCAACAAGCAAAAAAGAUUGAGUACGACCUUAAAGCAAAGCCGCCUCCUCCUCCUCCCUCCAGUGAGUUCACUCAGUAGCAUGCAGCAUCUAGUGCAGUGUACUAGUGCAGAGCACGGCUAGUACUCACUCACUCACUCACUCACUCACUCACUCAUGUGUGAUAAGCCAACCGGGACUAAAAGUAAUGGGCAUUAGUCCUGAUAGUUUUGUCCCGGUUGCAGAACCUGGACUAAAGGCCCUCUGGAACCGGGACUAAAGGCCCGUUUUCUACUAGUGUCAAGGGGCUCCAUCCAGCCGAGGCGGGCGAUCCAUGUGCGAUGUACAGAGGAGGGGACGCGGGCGAUGGCCGACGCCUCACCUGAUUGAAACUGCUCCACUAAGACUUGAAACAUGCAAUGAUACUUCAGUUUCUGAGCGUUCAUUCAUGGCGAGUGAUGUGCUCAUCAUUUCCGAUGCCGAGGGGUAUAGGUACAUAUAUAUAUUCUUCCUUCCCUACCACUCUCCGUUCACGCUUUCCACUCUGGCAGCACAUCUUUCAGCGAGAUGUUUGGGUAGGUUUCCCUAUAUUUUUUUUCAGUUCAUGUAUUAAUUGUUGCAUCAACCAAUUACGCACAUGUAUGUGUAUAUAUGCUUCCUUCCCUACCGGCACAAUAUCCAUCCGCAUGGUCUCCGCUAGGUUCCCCUAUAUUACUGUCCUGUUCAUGUACGAUUCCUUCUUCUACCAAACAAUUACAUUGUCCUCAUAUCCUCUCAAUCCCAAAUUUCUAUAGGUGUUGUUCAUACUGUCUAUGGUCAAUUGAUUCGGGCAGAUCUUGGAGACUGGUACUUAUUUUUUCACUUCGGAAAUUCUUCAGCUCAUAAUGUCCAAUGGCUUCGGGAUAGGUAAUUUACUUCAAUUGUACAGUCAAAUCUUACCAACCAUGGAGAUCGUAAGUGUUGCUUCAUGUUACUCUACAUGUUGGUUAAUUCAUCCAUUCACUCAAUGUUGCUCGGCAUGUUGUAGAGCUUGCACACAUUGUCAUGAUGUACUACAUGUUGUAUAGCUUGCACACAUUGCCAUGAUGUACUACAGGACCGAGGGCAGGUCAUUCAUGAACCUACAUUGUUCGAUGAAGCUCUGUCGAUUCCGACUCUAGUAUAGUUAAUUUUUGAAUAUAUGAUUUCGAAAAACUGGCUGAACACCCAGUUAUCUGGUUGAAUUUGAGCUGUUGUUGUACUAGAGAUAUUUGAAUGCUAUUCAUGAAUUGACAACAAUCUCUAAAACAAAAGGGGGCAAGAAGACAAGAGGGCUCCGUUUUCAGGUGCUUCUUUAAGUUUUGUUAGGGUUUGUGUCCUGCUCAAGAGACGAGACGGCGGCAGCUUCUUAAAGAUGGAAUAAGGUUCUCCCCGCCUAGCCUCCAUCCCAAUGGUGUGUCUAGCAUCGUCGGAGGGCGUGUGGAGGUGUGUCUCCGGCGGAUCUCGUGAGAUUUGGUCGGUGGUUGUCUUUGGUGGAUCCGCUCGGAUCCGAUCUUUGUUCGUCUUUGUUCAUGUGUCUUCAGGUUGGAUCCUUUCGAUCUAAAAUUCUCUUCAUCGGUGGCGGUUGCUGUUCUGGGGCGUUGGUCCUAUGGGACCUUAGCACGGCAACUUCCCGACUAUCUACUACAGCAAGUUGUGCCCGGCUCCGGCGAGGGAGCGGCGAUGACGGCGGUGCGCCUUCGGCUCGCUUCAGUGCUUGUAGUCGUCGCUAGGUGGUCUAUGAAUCUGGAUGUAAUUUUUAUUGUUUCUGGUGUUUGUUGUACUAUCAUGAUUGAAGAUGAAUAGAUUGACAGUUUUCUGAAAACGAAAGACUAUGAACACAUAAAAACCUGUUGGGAUUCUUUUUUCACAUCUCAAAAAUCAUUUUUCACGGGCAGGAACAUGUGCACACGGAAGCCGAAUUGGAUGUAAAGGCUGAAACCACUCUCCUUUCUGUUAAUGAGCAUCGAACCAAGUCUGAGGCUGAGCAAGGCCUACGUGCUCUCCUGAGAGAGGAGGAGCUCAAGUGGGCGUUGCGUGUGAAAACGCUUAAGGUGGUCCAAGGGGGACGACAACACACAGUUCUUUCAUAUGGUUGCAAAUGGUAAACAUAGGAAGAAGAAGAUCAUACAGCUUGAACAGGACGAGGGGACAAUAGUGGGGCAUGAAAAUCUGAAAGCGUAUAUUUCCAACUAUUAUAAAAGCCUAUUUGGACCCCCGAAUACAUCCACGGUGUCUCUUGAUGAGUCUGUUAUUGAUGAUAUACAUCAAUUACAGGCAGCAGAGAACGAUGUUCUCUCUGCACCGUUUACUGAAAAAGAAGUUCAUCUGGCCAUAACCCAAAUGAAGCCGAAUAAAGCACCGGGACCAGAUGGGUUUCCAGCUGAAUUCUAUAAGAAAUGUUGGCAUAUCAUUAAAGAUGAUCUUAUGCCUAUGUUUCAUGAUUUUUUUUGAUGGCCAUUUGGAGUUGUUUCACCUCAACUUUGGUACGAUAACGUUGUUACCUAAGAAGAAUGAGGCGGUUCGGAUCGAACAAUUCCGACCCAUUUGCCUGCUGAAUGUGAGUUUUAAAAUUUUCACAAAGGUAGGAACCAAUAGAUUGACACAAAUUGCUCACUCAGUGGUUCAACCUAGUCAGACAUCUUUCAUGCCGGGACGACACAUACUAGAAGGAGUGGUCGUCUUACAUGAAACACUCCAUGAGAUUCACUCGAAGAAACUAGACGGGGUUAUCUUCAAAGUGGAUUUCGAGAAGGCUUAUGAUAAAGUAAAAUGGCCUUUUCUUCAGCAGGCAAUGCGCAUGAAGGGUUUUAGUGAAACCUGGAGGAACCAAGUUGAUACUCAAGUCCAGAAAGGUAGUGUCAGAAUUAAGGUGAACGAUGACAUCGGUCACUACUUCCAGACGCAUAAGGGGUUGAGACAAGGGGAUUCCAUGUCACCUCUUCUGUUCAAUAUUAUGGCAGAUAUGUUGGCCGUCAUUAUUGACAGGGCCAAGCAGCAUGGCCAUGUAGAGGGUCUAUUUCCUCAUCUAGUUGAUGGAGGGGUGUUCAUUCUACAAUAUGCUGAUGACACUAUUCUGUUCAUGGAACAUGACAUGGCUAAGGCACGUAACAUGAAACUUAUCUUGUGUCUAUUCGAACAAUUGCCUAGCUUAAAAAUCAAUUUUCAUAAGAGUGAGGUGUUUGUUUUGGGAAGGCCAAAGACGAAGAACAUACAUACAGACAAUUGUUUGGAUGCGAAUUAGGUGCCUUACCGUUCAGUUACUUGGGUAUUCCCAUUCAUCACCAUAAGUUAUCCAAUAAAGAAUGGAAAUGUAUUGAAGAACGAAUUGAAAUAAAACUCAGCUGCUGGAAGGGCAAGCUGAUGUCAUAUGGAGGUCGGCUAGUUUUGAUUAACUCACUAUUGACUAGCAUGCCAAUGUUUUUACUUUCGUUCUUCGAAAUUCCGAAAGGGGUCCGAAAGCAACUUGAUUUCUUUAGAUCUCGUUUCUUUUGGCAGUCUGAUGAGGCCAAGAGGAAAUACCGUCUCGCGCGAUGGGAUAUUCUUUGUCGACCUAAAGACCAAGGGGGCCUCGGUAUUGAGAACUUGGAAAUUAAGAAUAAAUGUCUUAUGAGCAAAUGGUUGUACAGGUUAGAGACAGAGCCGGAAGGCAUGUGGUCUCAAAUCCUGCGCAAUAAGUAUUUGCACUCGAAAACGCUAGCCCAGGUUACCAUCAGACCGACUGAUUCGCCGUUCUGGAAGGGACUUAUGAAACGAAGGAUAUGUUCUUUCGUAGGGUCAGAGGCGAUGGGUAGGCAAUUCGCGGUGUUGUUUUUGUGCUCAAGAUGAGACAAUACAACAUUUAUUCCUUGAAUGGCCACUUGCCAAGUUACUUUGAAGAACGAUUCAUAUAGCUUUUAAUAUCAAUCCUUCAGUAGAUAUUGCGUCUUUGUUUGGGACGUGGUUAGCUGGGGUUGAACAGAUCACGGCAGCUCGUAUUCGGAUUGGAAUAUGUGCGUUAUUAUGGGCUAUAUGGAACUGCAGAAAUGAUAUGAUUUUUAACAGACAACACAACUUAACUUUUUUGCAGGUUAUCUUCAGAGCUACAGCUUGGAUCCGUACGUGGUCCUUACUCACUCCUAUGGACUCCAGGGAGCCUUUGGUUACUGGGUGCAACCAAUGGGAGAUGGUGGCUCGGGUUAUAUUCAACCGGUUCGGAUGGCGUUCGCAUAACAGGAUAGGAGUCUAGAGAGCUUAUCCUUAUUAUUACCGUAUCGGUUGUCUUUGUCCGCUUGUAAUUUUCCGGUUUAUGUACUUUGUUUUGCUCCGUUUGCGAGCUGUAAGACCUUUACGAUGAUACUUUCUGAAUUUUUAAUAAGAGGGCCGCAUGCAUCAUCAUGAUGCAGAGGCUGGGUAUACCUCCAUUUCCCCCAAAAAAAAAAAGGCUCACCUUGUUUCACGCACGCACAACAAAAACAGGCGGGCACGCGCGCUCAGGCAGCACGCAUGGGCGCUCCGCCUUUUCCCCCUCUGCUGCUGCUUUCAGAGGAUGGAGGGAUGGAUUGGUGCAGACAUCCUUUUGUGCCUUUUGUUCUUUCUUUACCAGCAACGGGUCUGUAUCUAUCUGCUUAAACAAAACAAAAUUUGCUUAAACACGUAGUACAUCAGCCCCUUUCCCUUCCUUCAUUGGGGAUGACGGCCCAAAUGCUUUGCUUUUGCUUGGGUUGCGUAAAGGGUGAGGUGUUCCAUGCGAAUGCGACACACCACACAACACAGGAGGUUUGGCCUGGGUUGCAUGCCAUGGAAUAUAUACUCCUUCCUACCAGCAAAGUAGGCCCUCUUUUCCCAAAGCCUCCUCUCCGGUGAGUAUUCAGCAUGAGUAUCUAGUGCACAGCACACAACUAGUACUUCCUUUUUAGUCUGCAUAUAAGUUUUGUCUCAAGUCAAAUCAUCUCUACUUUGACCAAACUUAUAGAAAAAAGUAUCAACAUUUACAAUGUCAAAUCAAUAUAGUUAGAUUCGUUACGAACUGUAGUUUCACGGAAUAUAUAUUUGGUAUGGUAAAUGUUGAUAUUUUUUAAUAUAUAUUUGGUCAAAAUUUAUAAAGUUUGACUUGACCAAAACCUAAUACGCGGAGUAAAAAGGACCGGAGGGAGUACUACUCACUCACUCACUCACUCGCCCAUGUGCUGUGACUGUGAGUGUGUGGUGACAUGAUUGGCUGCGGCCACUGGUUAAUCUCGCUCGGUACUCCUACGCUGCAGCACAAGAUUUCCUACUGUAUCUGAAGCAAGAGAUGCAGCUGAAGCAGAUGACAAGAUCCAACUAGGUUUGGUCUUUGGUCUUUGGUGCGAGCCAGCCAGCCAUCCAUACCCAUCUGGCCACCUCAUCUUGCUGCCGCUGCCGCUGCUCUUGCACUACCUGCUGCAGCAGCAAACCUGAACAAGUGAGCGAGGAGGAAAGAAAGGCUCGCUGUCUGCAUGCAUCAUGCAUGCUCCAGCUCCAGGCGGCACGUACGUGGCAGCCCUAGCUAGGAAUAGGAUGGAUCAUGAUCGUGGAUGUGGAUGUGGAUGUGGAGAUGCAUGAUGAGAUGGACGACGGCUUUCUUGUGACUUUUUACCCUACCACGCAUGCAUGAUGGAUGAGCCAACAUGCCACAGCUAGAAGCUGCACCGGCAAGUAACUAAAAUAUGGUGUUGCUCGUGCACCAACACAACUUCCAGCUCGAUACGUACGUGUUUUCAUACUGGUCACGUUGCACGGUAACACGCUCGCUCGUGCAACUUAGAAGUGUCAACUUGAAUGGUGUGAUGGUGCAGUCUGCAGUGCAAUGCUUGUGGUUUCUCUCCGCCGAGCGAGAACAUUCUUUCCUCUCGCAAAUCACAUCAAGCAUGACUUGACACGAUGCAACUUAAUUAGCAGUACGAGCACCAAUCAUCUUAGAUUAGAUUGGACAUACAUAUACGUGCCAUUAAUCGUACGUACUAUGUCGAUGUGCCGAUUAGUUAAAAAAGGGCCAGCUUGUCAUCAGAUUGAUUGAUGGCCGUGGCCAGAUGGAUGGAUGGAUGAUUGCUCACUCGCGAGUUUCUUUUACAACUCUUUCUAAACUGUCAUUCGCUCGCUCACUUUAUAGUUACUAGCACAAAUGCCCGUGUGUUGCAAUGGGAGAAAAAAAAUUAACGUGUAAUUAAAUUUGGUGAGAAACAACUUUUGAAGGUGUUAGUUAAAGAAGCUACUACUCGCUAUAAAAUCCACACGGUCGAACAAUACAACGUGCUGUAGAAAUCCUCAUACAAAUUGAUCAAAGAAUAGUACAUGACAAACAAAGCAAAAAAAAAGAGAGAGAGAGAAGUACAGAAGUUGUCGAAACUCCACAAAAAGAGACACUGAGACCUAAUGACCCAAUCACGCGUAAAAUAUAGGAUGUCAACAAAAGCGCCCCACUGCUGACACCAAGGAGGCAAGGAGCUCCGAGUGAAGAUUCGAGCCAACCCGAAUAACAGACGCAAAGUGGUCAAAUUUGAGUGAGAUAAUAAAUUAAUAAUAGCCUUUUCUCGUUUAAAAAUGCAGUAAUAAAGCGGACGCAUGCUUUCAAUGAAAAGGUGGUGUUUUACAGCUGCAAAUUUUACCGAUAACAUAUGCAAAGCAAAGCGGAGGUGUGUGAAAUGAUUGAGUAGAAAAGAAGAGGGUGCACUUAAUUGAAGUGCAACAAACCUGGUCGUGCUUGAGUCAUCGGUAACACACAAACAUUUGGAGUGGAGGAGAUGGAUUUGGAGGCAAGGCGACCAAAGUUUUUGGAUCUCCCGUCCCAUCGAUCAUAAUCAGCACCACGUUCCACUCCCACCCCCAGCUCAAAAUCAUCUACCCCGCGUUCUACUAUUAUUCAACAUUUAGCAUCUCAAGGAAGGUUUAUCAGUUACAGUACUAGCUAGCUUCCUGAGGGUAACUAACAGAAAUUAGAAAUGCAGCGAGUAUAGAAAUACUUUUCCGGGUUUAUUGAGCCUCAUUGUAUUAUUUUUUAAUUUUUACUAGAGAUUUAACUAGUAAACCAUAAAUUAUAUGCCACAAAAGUUAUAUUGUUCACGGUUAAUUUAAGGCAUUGUUGUGAAUCUGAUGAAGCAUCUAGAAAAUUUUCUCAAACAUAUCCGCCUCCUGGCAUGGAAGCUGGACAGUACCAUCCAACCGUUCAAAAUCCUAAACAUGGCGAACAGUUUCACCAUUAUCCUCCAAAUUAUGUUGUGUAUGAUACAUAUUAUCAUCUCCCAUGGCUGGAGGGGUGGAAGGUACUAGGGCGGCGGCGGCAGCGGCACCGGGCUUCACGGAGAGGCAUCUAGAUGGAGCGGCAGAGGUCCGGCAAGGCCUGGGCGCUGUCCGGGAGGGUGGGGUGGCUUCGUCGGGCUCCGGGAGCGAGUACAAUUAGUGAAGGAGGAGGGGUGCCAUAAAAAAGAGAGGCCUAAGAGGUCUUCUGGAUGAGUCUGGACUGCCAGAGUCUAGACUCCUUUUUUUUCUUUGAGAAUCUCCAGAGUCUAGACUCCUCUGCUCCGUCCCUCGAUUUGGGACCGGUUUGGGAGACUUCGGAUGCCCAUCCAUGUAUAGCACAACUGCAAAAUAUGGGCGCCCGCACCUAAAUUUAUCCGAGCCGAACAUAUCAGGAUGGAAUAGGGGUUCAAUGCGCUAAGAGCAACUCUAGUAGACCCCGCAAAAUCUGGACCCGCAAAACGUGUUUGCAGUUUCACGAAGAUCUCGUUUGCGGGUCGAAAACUAGCGCGGCCGAACAGAAACCAUAUCUAAAACUGCAUAAUUUGAAAAAACAGUUUCGCGGGAGAAAUUGCACCUCGUUGACGCGAGUAGUUCAUCACAUACUUCAUAGAUUUUACAUGAUCAAACACUACAAACGCUAGUUCAUACUACAUACUACAUUAAUACUAGUACUAGAGGGGUGUGGAUCUAACGACGGCGAGGCCGCGGCCAUGGACGACGCCGUGGAGGAGCUCAAUCCUCCUCCCCGGAGCUGCAGAGGUCGAUGUACUUCGCGGCCUGCUCCUCACGGAUGCGGCGGCACUCCUCGUCCUUCUCCUUGGCGGCGAGGUUGGCGGCGACCGCCUGCCGCCACUGGAGGUCUUCGAGCUCCUCCGCGUGGUGCCGGCGCUUCGCCUCCUCGCGCACGCUCCGCUCGGCAAUGGCGGCCGCAACCGCAUCGACGUCGGAGACGAAGUCUUCCGGCCCGACGACUCCGCGGCGGCCGAGCGGAGUGGGCUCCUCGGGCUCCUCCUUGACGGGGACGAACUCGAAGUCGUUCGGCUCCUCCGACCACUACCUCUUCAGGGGGAGAAGGCCAGCGCCGGAUGAGGAGGAGCUCCCGGUGUAGGAAGAUCUCGCCGCGGAAGAGAAGGACGCUCGCCGGCGGUCGUACUCCUCCGUCUCGCGGACGUGGAAGCUUGCCGGCGGCGACAGGCCGCGGUUGGUCCACUUCCGGGCCCCGCGCUUCCUCGCGCCGUCCGACUGGACGUGCCGCUCGCGCUCGGGGUCGCCUCCGCCGCCGGAUCUGCCGCCGGAGCCACGUCCGGAGCUCCACAUGCGGCCCCACAUGGCGGCUGGAGGCGGGGAGGUGGUCGCCGGCAGCGAGAAAUGUGGAGAAGGGGGUGGGGGAUUGCGUGGCUCGGCAGCGGGGGAUAGGGUUUUGACCCGCAAACGCGCCGCGGAACCGUAGAUAUAGCGGUCGGGGCGUGCGAUUUGCGGGCCGCGGCAAAUUUCUUUACGGGCCGGGCGAGUAUGCGGGCUCUGUUCUGGCCGGAAAAUUAGACCGAGCCCGCAUACUCGCCGGAAUUUUACGGUUCCGCGUGUUUUGCAGGGUCUGAUAGAAUUGAUCUAACAAUGGGCCCCCAAAAAGAGGCUGAGCACAAAGCAACUGUAAUAAAGUAGUACACCAUCCAUCCAUCAAUUAGUUACAGAGAGACAGCAGUGGAUCGAUCUAUUUACCGUGGUAGUUAUUUCUCUCUGACGAGUGGGAUACUCCACUAUUGAUUAGCAGUGGUACCUGACGGAGUCAUAAGUAAUCUGACCCACUUUUGUGGACGGCUGCUUGCUUCAAUUAGCAUACAGUAGGAAGAAGGAUUCAGUUAGCAAAUUAAGCUUGAUUUAAGCGCGGUAGAGAGACAAAACCAGCCCUGCACUGCUCCAGUCUGAAUGUACCAAGCACGAAUCUCUUAUCCCUGCAAGCAACACUGAAACUGUUCUUACUGACAGAUGCUUACAGUAGCAGUGGCCCUAUAAUUAUAAACAAAUAAAAAGCUUGUAAAGUGCAGUGCAGUUGAGGAGGGAGUCUGACCCAAUGUUUAACCAAGCCGCCUUAAUAUUUGCAAAUCAAAUACUCACUCUGUCUCAAAAUACUUUUCGAGAAAUAAACGUAUCUAAGAUGUAUUUUAGUUCUACAUACAUUUAUUUUUAUUCAUUUCUCCGAUAAAGUAUUUCCGGAUGGAGGGAGUACUUUCUGUGAUCCAACUAAAUCAGCCAUAACUAAUAUGGACCAGAGGAGUACAUAUGUACAUACAAGUCUGAGAGCUGCUGCCUUGAAGAAGAAGAAGAAGAAGAAGAAGAAAAAGAAGAAAAAGAAUAACGAUGGAGCCAUAUUCAUAUCCUUUUGCUCUUUCUUUAUCAGCAACGUGCGUCUGUGUGUUCGUGUGGCAAACAAAACUUUCAUUGUUUAAACACAAAGCAAACCUCCUUCUUCUUUAGCCAAAGCUUGCUUUUGCUUUGCAUCCAUACAUAAAGCAAGAGGGAUACAGUAGUUUGAGAGAUUGUUCCCUCACACUGACACACCGGGAUGGGAUGGGAGCAUGAACAAAAAGCAGGCCAUCUUUUUCUCCAAAAAGCCAUCCUCCUGGCAGGCCAUCGUGCAGUGAGCCCUCGCAGUUUUUUUUCUCCUCUCUUUUCCCUUUCUUUUUAUGGAAUUUCCCGCAGAAAUAAAAUUACCGCAAAAUAAUAAAUAAAAUUCCCGCAAAAGUAAAAUAAAAAUAAAUAAAUUAUUAUAACAGCAUUUCUAUUGAAACUCUAGUUUUUAGGAAUUUCGUGCUUUGGGAGCCUUCAGGCCUUAAUUUGGAGCCCAAGCUUGGCCCAACCGCCGAGUUCCAGAAAAUAAAGAAGUGAUACUGGUGUUUAUAUUAGAACCUUAAUUUUUGAGGCAUUUCGUGCGUUUGGGGCUUUUAGGUCGGGGCUCCAGGCAUAAACUUGGAGCCCGAGCUUUUGGUGGAAUCUGUUCAGCCGGGUUCAAGUCCCAUAUUUGGCAUAUGAUGCUCGUAUUUUCUUAAUUAUUUCCGAAUUCCUCGUGAUGUUACUGCAAGAUUUAUAAGUCGGGCACAAGUUUUUAGGUCUUUGAUUUAACUAAUAAAACAUGAAUAAUGUUCUGCAAAAUUAUAUGCUUAUAAACUACAUUUGACAAUAAAUCUAAAGAUGUGUUUUUUAUAUAAAAUGUAAUACAUGUUUCAGUAGUUAAAUUAAAGACCUAAAAAUCUGUGCCUUUAUAACUUCAAAAAGAAAAUAAAAAAAUAUGUGCCUUUAUGACUGAAGGGAGUAGUUUUCUAAUGCUCCAGUCAGUCAGUGCAGUUCUUUCCUUCUCUCGAGCUCAUGUGAAAACAAAAAAGCUACUCAUUCCACCCUUUUCAUUGUCGCUGCACUCUGAAUGGUUGUCAUUCGUUCUUUCUGUCAAGCUCAACUCCAGGAAGUAAUGUGCAUAUGGUGUGACUGGGAUGUCGAACGCGCACGUGGCAGUGGCCCGGAUGCCUGGGAGGUUCGCUUCGGUUUGCGGAAAACGGACAUUUGAAUCGGUUCGCAGACAAAUAUAAGAUAUCGCGUUGGAUUGCAAAACACGUCCAAACCGCAUGGUCAAGAUGGAUGGGUGCGAUUUGAGGGUCCGCACUGAAUGGGUGCUCCAGGCAGUGUGGCCCUUUCCCUCUGUCGAGGUCACGUGGAAAAUAAAAGAACAAACAAAUAGUCCCUGGGUGAGAACAUUAUCCUUUCUCACAAAUUAAUUAGCAGUAUGAGAACUAAUCAUACUAUAUUAGACAUAUAAUUGAUCAGUUCAAGAACAGCUCGACGGAGUAGUACGAUUGGUGGCCAUGACCAGAUGGAUGGCUGGAUGAAAAGGCGCGGUAAUGAAGCAGAGGCGUGCGCCCAAUGGAAAAGGCCGGUUUUUACUGCCGAAAUUUUUACUGGAAACAGACGCAAAGCAGAGCCGAGAAAAGCAAACUGGAAGUUUCAAUUGAAAUUGGACAAACCAGUCACUCCCUCCGUUCCAUAAUGUAAAAACGCUCUUAUAUUAUGAAACGGAUGGAGUAAUUAACAAGCGGUAGCAGUACUUGGUUGACAUGAUUGACACCCGUAACAUCAUCAUCUGAAAGAAACAGUAGGCAAAUGCUAUGGAGCAACAGGGCGUAUGCACAGUGCCAUGACAGGUGGCGGCGCCGGCGAGCAUACCAGCCAGAGAUUAAACACCAACGGAUCAAUGGCCGGCUCCACCGGUGUCGGCUAGGAUUGCACUCACUUUUGCUGCUGCUGCUGCACGCACGAACACUACUGUUCACUCGCCCACUCACUCACUGGGAGUAAUAAGGCCAACUCCACCGCGCGACCCUAUCCUGUCCGGCCCCGUCCGUUUGGGGUAAAAUGGACGAAUAGCGCGGCCCAGCGCGCGGCCUCAAACGGACAAAUGUCCGGAUUCCGUCCGUUUUCGACCCAUCCCUGCCCAAACUUGCGCUUGGUUUGGGGUCAAACGGACGCGCGCGGACGGCCUGGACGCACGCCCUUGUCCCCCCGUGGCUCGCCUGUCGGGGACACUAACAGUCCCUCCGUUCCCAACGCUUUCACCCUCUCUCUCCCGCCCCACCCCGUCGCCGGCGCCGCCGCUAUUCUCCGGCCGCCUCCUCACCGCGCAGCCUCCGGCCGUCCCUACCAAACCACUUAUCGACAUGGCCGCCACCAUGCCCGCGCUUUGGCCAUAGUUUUGGCCGUCGAUCGAAGGUUUGGCCGUCGCCGUCUUUGCCGGCCGCAGAGGGGACAGGACCGCCGGUGACGCACCACGACGGCCUCGGCAGCUUCCGACGACAGCUCCAGAGCGGCCAGUAGCCGGCCGGCAAGCACCCAUGCUGCGUCAAGGUGAUCAUCGCGGCCUCUUCGCCACCACGACUGCAAGGUGUUCGGCAUUUUGCCCACAAAGGUAUGGACAGUGGAGAUGAGUUUUUCUUCCAUUACUUCCUUUGUUCAUCGGACGAUUCGUCGUCGGAUGAUGAAGAUCUUGUGGUGGCUGCACUGGUCGUUCACGACCACAUUCGACGGCAGCUUCCUCGGUACAGGGGGUCAGUCCCUGGCCGUGCUGAACCGCAACAGGGAGAGAGGCCACGCCCUGCUCUAUGCUGAUUACUUUGCCAACACCCCGCUCUUCAAGCCGGAUAAAUUCCGUCGCCGUUUUCGAAUGGCAAGGCAUGUGUUCAAUCGUAUCCGAGAGGGAGUGGUUGCUCAUGACCCAUACUUCGAGUGCAAGACGGAUGCCCUUGGCAAGCUUGGAUUCUCCUCUUACCAGAAAUGCACCGCGGCCAUCCGCAUGCUUGCAUAUGGAAUUCCAGGCGAUCUGGUGGAUGAGUAUGUGCGUAUGAGUGAGACAACAUGUCUGAUGUCAAUGUACAAGUUUUGCCAGGCUGUGAUCGAGGUGUUUGGCCCAGAGUACUUGAGGCAGCCAACUGCCGCUGAUACAGAGAGAUUGUUGGCGACCAACGCAGCUAGAGGCUUUCCAGGCAUGCUUGGCAGCAUAGAUUGUAUGCACUGGGAGUGGAAGAACUGUCCAUUUGCUUGGCAGGGCCAGUACAAGGGGCAUGUCAACGGGUGCACUGUCAUAUUAGAAGUGGUGGCAUCGCGGGAUCUUUGGAUAUGGCAUUCUUUCUUCGGCAUGGCAGGUUCUCACAAUGAUAUCAACGUGCUGCAGCGUUCUCCAGUCUUCGGGAGGCUUGCAGAAGGCCACUCCCCACCUGUCAACUUUGAGAUCAACGGCCACCAGUACAACAAGGGAUACUAUCUAGCAGAUGGUAUAUAUCCUCAGUGGUCAACUUUUGUGAAGACAAUCUCGAAACCCCAAGGUGAGAAGAGAAAGAGAUUUGCCCAAAUGCAAGAGAGUGUUAGGAAGGAUGUGGAACGUGCUUUUGGUGUGCUUCAAUCCCGGUGGGGUAUCGUUCGAAACCCUGCACUGUCAUGGGUUGAACGGAAGCUUUGGGAGGUGAUGACUGCUUGUGUGAUCAUGCACAACAUGAUCGUCGAGGACGAGCGUGAUGAGAGUAUCUUCGACCAAGGAUUUGAUUACCAAGGUGAAAAUAUUGAGCCCCUGCACCAAGACCCGGCCACAUUUGAACAGUUUGCCCAAUUCCAUCGUGAGAUGCGUGAUUGGCACACUCAUUUGAAUCUUCAAAAUGACUUGGUUGAGCACGUGUGGGAUCACAUUGGCAACCAAUAGAUGUAUUGGUCCAUUUUAUGUUCAGUCAAGACAAUUUCGGUUUGGUUGUAAAACUAUUUUAUUAAAGACAAUUUCAAUUGGGUUGUAAAACUAUUUUAAUUUUCAGACAUAUAUUUGGGUUGGAAAACUAGUUAUGAUGAAAAUAUGGGCAUUUUUGGCCCAGACGGACAGGAUGGGGCAAAUGGAUGCGGCCGCGGGCUGGGCGCACGGCCACCGCAUCCCAGGACACGCCCGGACACGAUCCCAAAUCCUUACCCAAACGGACAGAAUCCGGACAAAACGGAUGUCCGUUUGGGGUCGCGCGGUGGAGUUGGCCUAAGUGAUUGUUAUCAUCAGCAUCCAUGUGCCAUGGAGCUCUAGGUGUGUACCACUACUAGCAGCCGGCAACAGUGCCUUAACGAUGGAUGGGGCCUCCCUGAACAAAUGAGUCUGAGUUGGAGCCAGGUAGGUAGCCACAGGAUGGUUGGAUCGAGUUAAGUUACCAGUAGUGAUUAUCUCUGAGGGAUGAGAUACUGCACUAUUGAGUAACAGUUGCACAGAGCAGUACUCGUUCUGCACAGAGCAAAGGUAACUCGUACAAAUAGCCUGUAAAAGGGGAAGAACCCUUUGUUAAUUUCACGCGCGCUCACACACAAGACGCACGCAUGGCCACUCUACCGCGGUGCUUUGCUUCUGCCAUACCCUUUUGCUCUUUAGCAGCAACAGCAGUGUCUUUGUGUGCGUGUGGCAACAAAACUCAUCAACCUGCUCAACAAAUCUGCCACGGUACGGUUGUUUGGGACUUGUAACACAAACUCUAUUUUCUUCUUAAUUAAUGUAUGAGGCAAAUUUCACACCAACAUUUUUUGGAAGUCUCAGACAUUUUUCUAAAAAAAAUGCAAUUCUUAAUUCGUGAACAAAAUCUGAUAUUAUUUUUUUAGAAUCCUAAACUAUUUUUAAAAGCAGAGACCUUUUUUGAAAUCUCUGAACAUUUUUCAAAAAUGCAAACAUUUUUUUAGACUGUGAAAAAAAUGGUAACGGGAACAUGUUUUUACAUUUUGAACAAUUCAAAAACAUCUGAAAUUCCCAAACAUUUUUUUAAAAAGUAUGUUUUUCUGAAUUUAUGAAAAAAUUGGAAAUGCAAACAUUUUUUGAAAAUUUGAAAAAGGAAAAUAAACUUGAAGAUAGAAAACAAACGUAAAAACAAAAAAGGAAAAGAAAGACAAAAAACAAAAGAAAAAAAAUACAAAAUCCGGUAAAAGAAACAAAAACCGGUCUGGGUAGUACCUACACUAUCUACACAAAUGGGCUGACCGCUCACAUGUGCGAAGCGCCGGCAGUUUGAUGCAACGCGCGUCAAAUAUGUUUUUCCGCCACAGACCUCAUCCUUGAUCAGCAACUCCGAAAUGGCCUUCUAGAUCACCAUCUUGGCAGUUAUGUCCCUGACGCCGUGGCAGGUGUCCUGGUCUUUCUCGUCCGUGUAGAAGACAGGAUACAUAUGACCCUCUGAGUUUGGAUUACAGAAAAGUCUUCCCAGGCCACGAUAGUAGGUCCGUGCUCCACCAGGCUGGCGUCCACCGUGAGCAUCCACUGCGCAUCGUUGCACACGGUGGACGACUCCGUGCGAUGGGUCCAUGUCGAACCGCCUCCUCCAUCCCAUAGAUAUGAAGGAUAUUUGAGCUAGACCUAUGCUCGAAUCGUUGCCAAGGUUUUGGCUACUUGAAUCCAACAAAAUACCAGGGGGACGAUAAACGCGAUUACCACGAAUACUAAAAUAAUGCCGUUUAAAAUUUUAAAUGAAUUUUGAAUUCAAAUUUAUUUGAGCUAGACAUAGAUUUCCUAUUAUACUAAUGUUAGCUAGAAACUUGCUAGUGUUGCAGUGGUAGGUUCUAUCUGCCCAACCUCAAUUGUUGAGNNNNNNNNNNNNNNNNNNNNNNNNNNNNNNNNNNNNNNNNNNNNNNNNNNNNNNNNNNNNNNNNNNNNNNNNNNNNNNNNNNNNNNNNNNNNNNNNNNNNNNNNNNNNNNNNNNNNNNNNNNNNNNNNNNNNNNNNNNNNNNNNNNNNNNNNNNNNNNNNNNNNNNNNNNNNNNNNNNNNNNNNNNNNNNNNNNNNNNNNNNNNNNNNNNNNNNNNNNNNNNNNNNNNNNNNNNNNNNNNNNNNNNNNNNNNNNNNNNNNNNNNNCCCCCUUAGAACUACAUGUACCUCCACUGUUGAGCCGGAGGAACAACAAUGUGGGAGUGGUGUGGAGCUCAUCCUUGCCGUGUGGGAGCACACACAGGAAGCCUGGUAGCUUCGCGACCACCGAAGCUCGACUUUAGUGAGUCGGGCGGCGAACCAGUGGAACAUUGUCCGGUACGAGCACACUCUGCGUUAGUGAGCCAGGUGGCGAACCAGUGGAAGACUAUCAAGUACAAGCACACCAUAGACACAUCUAACCGGACUUCAUGAGGAUGCUUUCUAGGAAGUUCUCAUGCGAUUGAUGAUGUGCCCUUCGGCUCAUGGGGUUGACAUAUGUUGUUGGCAAGAGGAAAACAAUGUAGGUGCGCUAAGCACGAUCUUCUUUGGGGUCUUGGGAAAGCUUGUUAGGGGUGUUGGAAACAUGCCCUAGAGGCAAUGAUAUUUGAGUAUUAUUUAUUUCCAAGUUUAUAAUUAAUAUUUAUGUCCUAUGAUACUACUCCUAUGGUUCUCGAAUAUGUGAUAACAAGAGGUUCAGAGGAAAACUCGUGUGCAUGUGUAGAGUUAUAAACGGUAAAACCAGAUUGCUAGUCUUGCCUCUAGGACUAGCUCAACUGUUGCAUGAUGGUUUUGUUUUCCUCAUCAUGGGCAUAAUUAAGUGUAACGAUGAUCCCGACAACAUUGAGUGCACGAUUCGUAGAACACUCGUGUUGAAUUGACCCAAAUUGUAUAUUUCUACUAAGAGAUGAAUCGUAACAAGUCUAUAAUAAAUAACACUGGAAGUUAAGAUAUGCACAAUUCCUUAAGACUAUGAGUGUAUCGAGUUACCCCAUACCGGACGAUGCACGAUGCACUUUGGGGUUGUUCUAACGUCAACCGUAACAAGGUGAUCAUAAUCACAACUUACAAGUUCAUCAGAAACGUAUGAUAAGUGACUAGAUAGCUAGAGACUGGGAUAUUGCUUCUCCGGCGAUGGAGAGAUAUUCUUAGGUCCAUCUUGGUAUGAUGACAUCCAUCAUCGUCUGUCCAUAGACAACCUUACGUUAUCACAGGGAUGCUGGAACCCGAGAAUGAGAAAAGAGAAUGAAACUAUUAACGAGGAGACUGGUAUAGUGAUCAUGUGUUUGACUCACAGGUAUACUGAUAUAUCUCACCCCAGUUUUUGUAAAGUACCGCGAAGCAAAAGGAAGAGGACAUGUAGCUACAGGUUUACUCAAUAAACAUUCAUGUGAGUGAAGGGUCAAUAUGGAUGUCCAUGAUUCCGCAAUUGAUCAUUGAUCGAAAGGUAUUUCGUUCAUGUCUAAGUUUCGCCAAACCUGCAGAGUCACACACUGAAGAACCUUUGAUCUGUUGAGUAGUAAAUGAGUUAGGAAUAUUGGAGAAUAUCACCAGAAAAGUUUUGGAGGUAACAAAAUUGUUUUUGAGAGAGAACCGGAAGUGUUACGGGAAAACCGAAAGCGUUUCAAAGAAAACUAGGUAAAACCAAUUAGGUGUAAAAGUUUGUGGAGGACUUGAUAAUAAUAUAGGGGGGCUCUAGUAUUUACUAGGCGCCCCUAGAAUUAUUAUAGGCUCCAUGGGUUGCAUGUAUAGGCUAAGCCUAUUAAGGGGUUUACUGCAUGGGCCUAAAGGCCCAUAUAGGUGCCCCUACUAGCCUUGGGGGUGCGGUUGGGGUUGAAGGGGUGGAGCGCCACCCCUAGGUGGGAGCCCCUCCUCCAAGGCACUCCUCCUCCACCUAUAUAUACCCUUGGGGGCGCCCCCUAUUGAACGCACAUGUUCUCCCACGUGUUUCGGAAGCCCCCUUUCCCUCUAGUUCUCCACCAUAGCUCUGCCGAAGGGCAGCUCCUCCCUCUCCCUCUACUCCAGCAUUGCCUAGCUCCGAACGGCGAAGCUCUAUCAAAUCUUUGGUGUCAUAUGUAUGCAAUCCACAGAGGGGCCGUAUGUUCGGUUCUUGUUCGAGGGAUCUGUUCGUGGGACUUCAAGAACACGAUCUUCAUCAACUUUCCGCUGCAACUCAUUUUUGGUAAAGUUCAGACCUAACUCUUGUAUGUGUAUCUUCAUAGUGGUCCUGGUUUAGUUUCAUAGGACAAUUUUUUGUUUUGUACUACGAUUCCCAACAUUAGCAUGAUGAGCAGGUUACGAUCUAGAACAUAGUUUUUUGUGUGAGUACUGCACAAACAUUUUCCAGUAGUAGAUGUGAUCUAUUAUUUAAUGGAAGUUUUGUGCGAAUAGAAGAAAAUAUCUGUUGUAGUAGAUGCAAUCUUUUACUUGAUGGUUUGUGUUGCUUCUCUUGAAUUUACAAUUUUUUGAUCUUGAUGGCAUGGUGCAACAUUUUACCAAGUUCUGGCAAUCCGUGAUCCUUCUAUGUUGCUCUUAGUAUGAUGGUUUCAGAUCAAAGAGGUGCUUCAAUUAUUUGGAUUACACUUUAGUCAAGAUGGAUAAUUCCCGCAAACUAAAGGGCAUGUAAGUUUAAUCUACAUGAGGUCAUGCGUAUGACUAUGUUUAGUACGGGGGAGCAGACUUUUAGUUAAGUCUCUCGUUUCACACACCUCGCACAGUUAAUCAAGUAACUUAAAUAGUCAUACUUGAUGAUGAACAUAGGUAGCUUCGGUUUGGUUUGAAACCCUAGAAGCCACGUAAAAUAUUUUUUUGCAUAAACCUAUUAGAGGACGUCUAACUUGAUUUUGCAGGUUGCAUCAGACGUGGUAUAUAUAGCCUUCAUCAUAUUAAUGAGAUUUUGUAUGAGAUGUCUUUUGUUGGAAACAUUUUGGAGCAUCGUUUUUUGGGUCCAAACCUCCAUGAAUAUUAUUUCACCACAAACAAUUGAAAGCAUUUAAAACAUUCAACAAUGUUUAUUGCAAAAAUAGAGAAUUUUGUGAUUUUAUUCUUUAUCUUGAAUUUUAAUUUAGAUUAGAGAGCAUGUGAACUCGGGAUAAAAAAAGAGCAAUUUCGUAAAUAAUAAGUUGUUCUUUAUUAGCAGCUGAAGCAGCAACGAGUCUGUAUCUAUCUGCUUUCCUUUCCUUCAUUGGCAUUGGGGAUGGCCAAACCCAAAUGCUUUGCUUUUGCUUGCGUUGCGUCAUCACACAAACAUAGAAUCCAACAGAGAAAUGCACAUUCCGAUCACCAGAAGAUCACCGACGGAUGUCCAAAAGAUUGCCACAGUUCACAUAAUUCACAUAAAUGACGGAUAAAUUUAAAGUAGAUUACUAAAAACUUGAAAUUGAAGACGGAGAUGGCAGAGAUUCACCACUUCCUCGCCGGCCCUUUGCCCUUCCGGUCGCCGGCGCAGCUAUAGGCAUCGGCGGCUGGUGGCGGAUCUUCGAGAGGUCCGACGAGGAGCCGUGUUCGUCGUCAUCGUCGGAGGUGUCAGAGAGGAUGAUGAGCCCUUUUAGCCGCUGGACCUCCCUGUCUUGUUGCCGAUUGAGCUUCGCGAGUCGAGCCGCUCUGCCGCUGCCUCCCCCGCCUCGCGCUUGGACUGCUCCAUGGCAAUCCGGAGCGCCUUGGCGUUCUUCCGGCAGAGCCACCGAGCGUCUGUCUCCGCGGUCGUAAGCGACCGGUGGUAGACCCAUUCGAGGAGCCACGCGUCCUUGUCAGGUUGGGCCUCCAUCCCGCGCCGGCGGCGCACGGACUGCUCGGCCUCCCUCCUCUCCCUUUGCCGCCGCUGCUCGCGGCGGGCGGCACGCGCCUCUGAUUCCGCUGUGCGCAUCUGGGCCGGCGGGGCGGGCACAAGCACCCACCACUGCCCACGUGGGGGAGCAGGGGAUGGCGUAGGGGAGGCGCGGAUUGCGCAAGCCACCUGUCGAAGCUGCGCACGGGUUGGGAGGGGCCAGCACCGGCGUCAGAGCUACGCCGUUGGGGAAGCUGCAUCUACGGCGAGGCUGCAGACUGCUCCAAGGCGAUGCGGAGGGCAAGCUCAUAGUCCGGAUCCAGCUCGGAGUCAGAGCGGCUGCCAGAGCUUGACAUUGUGGCGGAUUUGACCGGAAUCGGUGCGGGGAGAGGAGAGGACGGAGAGUUAGUGAUUUAGGGUUUCGGAGCGAUGAGUCGGAUGGUUUUUUUUGUGGGACCGGUGGGGUCGGUGGUGGACCGGGCUUGUCAGGCGGACGUGUCCAGGCAUGCCCGGGUCACCCCAUAUCCGCCCAAAUUUGGGCUAGAUAUGAGGGGUGCCAGUCAGCCCGGGCGUUUGAGGCCCAUUUGAGGUGUCCGUCUGGGUAAAAAAAUCAUGACCGGUCAGUGACCGGGCGGGCCGCCCGGGCGUUUGAGGAGGGUUUGGGACGCCCGGCUGUAGAUCCUCUAAAGGGAGAGGGAUUGUUCCCUGCCACCGCGGCACACCACACUUACACACAUGUAUAGGAUGAUGGGAGGGCCUUAAAGCAAUAAUGCAAGCAAUAUAUACUUCUUCCUCCUCUUACCAACAAGCAGAAAGAUUGAGUACGACCUUAAAGCAAAGCAGGCCCUCGCUCGCUCCAGUGAGUUCACUCAGUAUCUAGUGUAGUGCAGAGCACAGCUAGUACUCACUCACUCACCCACGUGUGUGUACGUAGUGGCUGCUGCCACUGGUUAUUCGGUGCUGUAUCUCAACUCUCAAGAUUUCCUAUUGUAUCUCAAGCAAGAGAUGCAGCAGCAGCAGCAGCAUAUGACAAAGAUCCAAGCAAAUCCGUGCGUUGCUACCUGCCACGGCAGGUUUGGUGCGAGCCAGCCAGCCAGCCAUCUGGCCUCGUCGUGCUGCUGCACUUGCACUGCCUUCUGCACUGCAGCUAGCCCUCCCAACAAACCUGAACAAGUGAGUGUGUAAAGAAUGCAUGGCUCACUGUGCAUGCAUGCUCUCUCGGGCGGGGCACGUGAGGAUGGAUCAUGCUCGUGGAUGUGGAGAUGCAUGAUGAGAUGGACGGCUUUCUUGCUUUUCUGCCUCUUUCCCCUUUCCUUUCCAUUCCAUUUUUUCAGACGAGCAGCCCAUAAUCAGCCUGCCCUUUUUCUUUCUUGAUUGAUGAAAGGCAUUCUUGCAUGCGUUUUUCUCCACUAGUACCAGGGAUGGUUUGGGUUAUCGAUGAUCCAUCUCCUAUUCUCAUGUAGUCGUAGUGGCUACCCCUCCUUCCAAAGAAAAAAGGAAGAAGAAUCAAGCAAGCAUGCAUGCAUAAAAAAAGCUAAAAAAAGAGAAGAAGCACAGAAGAAGUGGCCGAAAUGCCAAAAAAGAGAGAGACCCAGUCACGUGUAAAAUAGAGGAGCUCCGAGAGUGACCCGAAUAACAGACGUAAAGCGGAUAAAAUUUAGCGGGAUAAUAAUAGCCUCUUUUUUUUGAAAACCCCCACCCAUAUAUUAAUUAACUUAGAAUGUUAAUACAAUCAUUCAUUACAACAUCUGCCACACAGGCCGGAACGCUAUUAAUAAGGACACCGUCAGACAUUUUAUUAAAACUAAACUUAACUAUCUCGUGCGCCACCUUAUUAGCUUUCCUGCUAAUCUUGGAGAUCUUCACAUUUGCCAGCAUCUUAGAAAUACCGAAUGCUUCCUUCUUUAGGUCAACAAGGGUAGAUCUGUCAAACCUGUCAUUUUUUAGAACACCAGCCACAAAAGAAUAGUCAGUUUCUAAAAUGAUGGAUUUGUGAAGAGUGAUACCGAUAUACAAUCCGGAGAUUGUCCGCUCUAAGUUCCGCUUCUUCAACGCUAUAGCAGGCUCCAAUAUAACCCCAAGAGGAAAUGAUUACUUCUCCAAUAUGAUUUCUGCCAACCACCCCCACACUUGCGGCGUUGAUUGCCUCCACAAAACUUGCAUCGACGUUAAUUUUGAAAAACUCCGUGUUUGGUAAAGAAGAUGCAGUGCUCUAGUAACUAAAGAAGAUGCAUGCUCUCAAUGAAAAGUUGGGGUUUUACGGCUGCAGAUUUUACCGAGAACAGACGCAAAGCAAAGCAGAGGUGCGUGAAAUGAUUGAGUAAAAAGAAGAGGGUGCACUUAAUUGAAAUGCAACGAGUCUGGUAAGCCAUGUUGUGCUUGAUACAUUUGCAGUGGAGGAUAUGAUUUGGAGGCGUGGAGGACCGAGGACGAGCAAAGUUUUUGGUUCUCCCGUCCCAUCCAACCAUGUCCUCUUGCCCCACGACCAUAAGCAGCACCACGUUCCACUCCCCGCAAGUAUUAUUCAACAUUUAGCAUCUCAAGGACGGACGGUUCAUCAGUUACUAGAGCUAGUUUCCCCACGGUAAGUAAAGAGAGUGAAUUUUAUUUUUUUUCCUCUUAGUUUCACGUCCGUGAUAGUAUUUAUCCCAUUUAGCACAUCUUUCACAUUUUUACUCCAACUUUGUCACGAAUUAUCUCAUUUUUUUUCCAUUUUUCUGCUGACUGUGCACGACAUUUUAGUUUACUUUUGGUUUUUUAAGGUGAUUGUUUAUAUUUUCUUUUUUACAAGCAUCCAAGUGCUAUUACUAGUACUCUAGUGGGUUGGAGUAAAAGUCGCAGAGUUUAGCCAUACGAGGACCGAAUAUGCGCCCUUGUUGGAGAUGCCUAAGAGCAACUCUAGCAGAUCCCGCAUCCCGCCGACCCGCAAAACGCGUUUGCAGUUCGUGAAAAACGGCCUUUGCGGGCCGGCAAGGACGGCCACAGAUGCAGACCCCCGAACGGACCCGUAUAAAAGUAUAUUCGCGGAAUAUGCUUUUUUACGAGUCGGCUUUGCGGUGUCUGCUCUUGCGCCACUGCAUCCCGCAUCUCAUCGGCCCGCAAAUAUCAAAUCCAACAUAAUACAACAAACGGAAGCAAACUAAAUAAUUAUUCAAAUCCAACAUAAUACAACAAUCAUCCACAUUACAAAUAAUUAUUUAAAUCACCGAAGCAACCUUAAAUAAUGCAAUACAAAACUUGUGAUGAAUACAAAUACAAAUGAAUACAAAAAUAAGUCACUGUCCAGCCCUUUGCCAAUGGUGCUCAAUGAGAUCCUCCUGAAGUUGAAAGUGUGUGUUUGCAUUUUCAGUCUCCUUGUAUGUCUGAAGAAAAGCUCUAAUGCGGUUAGGGUCUCUAGCUGGUUUGACACGGCUACUCACAUUGUCGUAGAAGAAUUCCAAGUUCAUUAUCAUCUUCAAGAAUCAUAUUGUGAAGGAUAACACAACAUGUCAUGAUAUUUUUCAAGGUUCUCUUAUCCCAAAAACGAGCAGGACCAAGGACAAUGGCAAACCUAGAUUGCAAAACACCGAAUGAUCUUUCAUUGUCUUUUCGGGCUGCCUCUUGCACCCAUGCAAAUUCACAAUGUUUUCUAGUUUUGGGAUCUUCGAUACUCUUGACAAAUAUGCACCAAGGAGGGUAUAUACCAUCUGCAAGAUAGUACCCUUUUGUGUAUUCAUGCCCAUUGAUUGUGUAGUUGCAAGCAGGAGCAUCACCACCAGCAAGCCUAGCAAACAAAUGAGACCGUUGCAAAACAUUGAUAUCAUUGAAAGUGCCCGGCAUACCAAAGAAGCAAUGCCAAAUUCAUAAAUCUUCGGAUGCUACGGCCUCUAGCACAAUUGUUGCAUCACGAGACUUGCCACAAUACAUUCCUUGCCAUGCCUUUGGACAAUUUUUUCAAGUCCAAUGCAUACAAUCAAUGCUACCUAGCAUGCCAGGCCAACCUCUCCUCUCAUUAGAUGCCAUCAAUUUCUUUGUGUCAUCCUCGUUGGGUGCCCGAAGAUACUCAGGACCAAAGACACGGAUGAUCACUUUUGCAAAUCUACGCACUGACUCCAUUGUAGUAUCUUCACCAAUGGGAAGGUACUCAUCGACAUAGUCAGCCGGAACGCCAUAUGCAAUCACCCGCAUAGCUGCGGAGAUUUUUUUGAUAUGCACCAAAUCCCUUUAAGCCCGCAACAUUUCUUCUUUGAGUAAAAUACCGGCAAUUUGCCUCGCAAGCUUGAACAAUUUUCACAAAGAGGGAUCGGCGCAUUCGGUACCUUCUCCGGAAGAGGUGCGGUGGAUAUGUUGGAUUCUCCGCGAAGUAGUCUUGCAUCAACAUCUCGUUCCUAAGAUGGCGAUUCCGAGGAAUGCAAAGACGCCCGACGGUCGAUCCUCGCCGCCUCUUCCGGUUCUCGUCUUCGUGCUCCUUCACGACAAGUGCCAUCACUAAUGUCUGCUGCCGAAAGGUCGCAAGCAUGGUCUCAACAUCCGAGUUGUCCGAAUCGGACGAAUCGGAGAGCAAGAACUUCUCGCACGGGCUCAAUUCCAUCUACAUGCAUACCGAAGCGUCAAUCAACUAUGCAUACCGCUCGCAAAUAUGACAAAACAAACACUAACCGGCGGCGGAUGCGGCGGGUGAUCCCGGGCGGCGACGAGGGGCGGGCUCGACGGUGGUCGAUCCCCGGCGGCGACAGCGACAAGGGGCGGCUCUUCUCGCCGGAUCCGGGNNNNNNNNNNNNNNNNNNNNNNNNNNNNNNNNNNNNNNNNNNNNNNNNNNNNNNNNNNNNNNNNNNNNNNNNNNNNNNNNNNNNNNNNNNNNNNNNNNNNNNNNNNNNNNNNNNNNNNNNNNNNNNNNNNNNNNNNNNNNNNNNNNNNNNNNNNNNNNNNNNNNNNNNNNNNNNNNNNNNNNNNNNNNNNNNNNNNNNNNNNNNNNNNNNNNNNNNNNNNNNNNNNNNNNNNNNNNNNNNNNNNNNNNNNNNNNNNNNNNNNNNNNNNNNNNNNNNNNNNNNNNNNNNNNNAGCGUAUCGGCGCUGGAGGAUGGGGGACGGCCCCGCGGCGUGAUUCCGCCCCCCAGAUUUGGCCGGAAUCGCCGGCGACGGACGGGCGGAAGCAAAGGCGGUCGGCGGCGGAAGGAGGUGGGGAAAGGCGCGCGGGCUGAAAUGUCCCUCCCGCCAACUGCUUCUCUGUGAUGCAGGGCACCGCAGCGGCGAGGGGGAAACCCACGUAUUCGCGGGUUAGGGCCGAGAUUUUGCCGCGCGCCUUAAAUUUUUUUGCGGACCGGCCGCCUUUGCGGGGUCUGUUCGGGCGGGAUUUUCCGCGCGGACCCGCAUUUUAGCGGUUAUUUUGCGGGUCGGGGCGGGAUGCGGGGUCUGCUAGAGUUGCUCUAACAACAACAAUGGCCAAUGCGGCUCUGACAAAGAAGUCUGAGCACAAAGCAGCUGUAAUUACUGAUACCCAUCCAUCCAUUAAUUAGUCAUAGAGAGACAUCUAAAGGAUCGAUCGACUUUUUAGUUAAUUCUCUCUCACGAGUGAGAUACUCUACUAUUGAUCAGUAGUGGACUAGUGGUACCGUACGGGGUUAUGAAUAACCUGACCCACGGCUGCUUGCUUAGAUUCGCAUACAGGAGGAUGAACGAACGAUUGAUCAGCGUGAGAAAACCUGUCCGUCCGUCCCUGCAAGUACGCACUAGCAAAUUAAUCUUUGAUUUAAGCGCCGUAGAGACAGAACCGGCCCUGCACUUGCAGUCUGAAAGUAGCAACCACGAAUCUCUUAUCCCUGCAACUGCAAGAAUGUGUGAAACUGUUGGCAUGCCAAGCGCAGUGCGUUUAAGUAGUAAAUAAAAAGCUUGUCAAGCGCAGUGCAGUUCAGGAAGGAGCCUGGCCCAAUGUUUAGGAACCAAGCGGCCUUAAUAUUUGCCAGUCAAAUACUCCCUCCGUAGUGAUCUAAACGCAAGCCCGGUCUUGAGAUUUUAGGGGCCACGGCGACAUGAGAUUAUGAGGCCCUUUUAGAAAGAAAGAUUCUUAGAUACAAAGUCUUUGUUGAUGGUAUCAAUAGAAAGAGAGUUAGAGAUACGUCUUCUGUAAAAUGGCGUUGUCACACCGACAAAUGGAUGGUGUGCAGUCUCCUAUCGGUGUGGCGGCAUGGAGCUGGUGAUGGGGCGUCUUUGCCUAGGGUGCACAAGAGAUCAUGUGUUGGUCGAGUAGGGAGCGAUCAUCCGGGAGAUCACGUCAAGUUGCCUUUACACUCCUACAAGCCGAACUGCACACCCGUGUGGGUGGCGGAGGUCAAAUUAUAUGUUUGGUAUGGCGAAACUAAUUGCAUAAGGAGAACGUUCUAUGACAUAAAUCUUUUAUAUCAGUUAUAAUACCAGUCGUGUCUUCCAGCUUCGCUAUGGCUGAGAUCAGGGGCGAAUCUACUGUAUAGACUUUAACAGGCUUGGCCCUGCCCUACUUUCACAUAAGGAGAACGUUCUAGCAUGCAAGUAUUACUUUUCACACAAAAAAGUAUGGAAGCGCUACUUUUUUUAGGGGAGGAAGCACUACUAAAUCGAUGGGCUCCCUGCUGUGAUCUGAUGUGGCCCACAAUCUUUUUAAUAAAAUGGCCCACCACCACUUAACCAUUCACGUUAUUUUUUUAUGCUAAUUAAAGAAAAAAUGGCCCAAGGCCCAGUUCGCUAGAAGAGAUAACGUGCUUUCUUCUUCGUGGAGACAUCGAAGCACAGAAUACAGCUCUGCCUCGAAUGUGUAUGUAUGAGGCUCUGUAUCUUUAUCUAUGUGUGUGUGUGCGCGUGUGGCAAGCAAACAAGACUCGUUUAAACAUAAAGCAGACCCGAUUCUUCUUUAGCCAAGAAAAAUGCUUUGCAUCCAUAGAUAGAGUGUUCCCUGGCACUGUGACACACCGGUAUGGGAUGGCCUUGGUUGCGACAAAAAGCGUGUCAUCUUUUCCCGAAAGCCCCUCCUCCGUGCGCUAUACAUCGUCCAGUGAGUCCAGUCCAGCAGGAGUAUCCAGUGUUGUUGCGCUAUCUACCUGCGGCUGCACCCCCUUCGAAAAUAUAUUAAAAAAAAAUCUAGGGCUGCAGGCUCAGCAGACAUGGAGAAAAGAAAGUCAAUGCUCUCGGAUCAGUGCGGAUAUGGAGAUGAUGGGAUGCAAUCCGAAAGUGUUCUUCUGGUCCCGAGGUCAAAUGAGCCUGUGUGAACAAAAAAAAAUUAGAAAACAAAAUUAAAAAUUUCUGAUUUUUUUAGUGACAAACGUUCACAAAAGUUUUCGGUGCUUGCAAAAUUUCAGCGUGAAAUGACAUUUGUAGAAGCCGUGGCAAAAAAAAAAAUAUCACUCUGAAAUACUUUCGGAAAUGAUAUUUUGGAGCAUCGAUUUUGUUUUUUGAGCCACGGCUUCAACAAAUGUCAUUUCACAAUGAAAUUUUGCAAGCGUUGAAAGCUUUUGUCAAUGUUUGUCAUUAAAAAAUUUCAGAUUUUUUUUAGUUUUAAUGUUCACCCGAGAUCAUAUGAGUUCGGGCUCAGAAACUCCAUGCCCGGAUGCAUUCGGCUUUCUUGCUUCUCUUUCUCUUUUUAUGCAAACAAGCCAAAGCAUAUUCAAGCUAAUUGUACUUUCAAACUUAGGUGUAUUCAAAUAUAUAUUUUCUAUCUAAAAGCACGAUUUUAAUCGUUUCAAGGUAAAUAAAUAAAUUAUUAUACCAACAUUUCUAUUCUGUACCAACAUUUUCAGGAGCAGAGAGUGAGAGAGUGAUUUAGGGUUUGGUCCGGGUGGGGGUUUUUAGUGGGGACAUAGUGGGGUCCAUGCGCGCCAGAGGUGCCAAGCUGACAUGGCGGACACGUCCAUGCCACCUCAUAUCCACCCGAUAUUUGAGCUGAAUUUAAGGGGUUCCGGUCAUAUAAGGGCGUUUGAGGAGUCCAGUUUGGUCGGGGAAAAGUGACCGGUCACUGACCGGGCCGUCCGCCCGGUCAAUGUAGGGGGGCCGGCUAUAGAUGCUCCCAGUGUGGACAUGGAGAUGAUGGGAUGCAGGGUUUUAUUGCAUCUCUUUUCCCCGUCCUUUUUUGGGCCAACAUGCCUAAGCAUGUUCAAGCUAAUUGUAGACAAACUUAGGUGUAUUCAUACGAUUUUUUAUAUAAAAGAAAUAUUGUAACUAUUUCAUGGUAAAUAAAUAAAUUAUCAUACUAACAUUUCUUUGAAACUCCUAGUUUGCCUUCAGGCCAAAAUUUGAAGCCCGAGCUCGGCCCAACCGUCGAGUUUCGGGGUCGGGCUCGCCAUUCUCAUGGCUAGUGGAAAGUUCAAAACCUUGUGUGAGAAAAGGAUGAUGUGUAUCAACAGGGUAUGACUUCAAAGUUGGCGAGCCGUUCAAUUAGUUUUCCCCUGACCUUAGUGGAGGAGAUGAUUUGGAGGCAAGGCGACCAAAGUUUUUGGUUCUCCCGUCCAUCCUACCAUGUCCUGUUGCACCAUCAUCAUAAUCAGCACCACGUUCCACUCCCCACCCCCAACUCAAAAUAAUCUACCCCACGUUCAAGUAUAUAUUAUUCAACAUUUAACAUCUCAAGGAGAUGGUGAAAAGAAAAAAUAUAGGCUGGCCAAAUGGAGUGUGGUUUGUAGGCCGAAAGACCAGGGCGCCUCGGUAUUCAUGACCUGCAAGUCAAGAAUGAGGCCCUACUUAGUAAAUGGUUGUUCAAACUUCUUACUGAGGAUGGUGUUUGGCAAACCAUGCUGCGCAAUAAGUAUAUAGGCCAAAAGGCAGUGUCUCAGGUAUAUUGAAAACCUGGAGACUCACACUUUUGGGCCGGCCUAAUGGCGGCAAAAAACAUCUCUUUCGCUUUGGGUCUUUCGCGAUAAAGGACGGGUCAGAGAUUCGUUUUCGGGAAGACAUCUGGCUAGGCAAUGCUAGCCUCCGAGAACAAUACCCAGCCUUAUACAACAUUGCACGCGAUAAGAAUAAUACUAUUGCGCAGGUGCUCAGCUCAUCCCCGCCAAAUAUUUAAUUCAGGCGGGAUCUGAUUGGCACCCGACUUAUGUCAUGGAAUAAUCUAUUGUCCCGUUUGGAUUCGAUUAUCCUAACACAAGGUCGUGAUGUGUUUCGCUGGAACCUUACUACAUCGGGGUCUUUCACAGUAGACUCUAUGUAUCGUGCACUCACGCAUUCUGAGGUACCAGUGAGUAAUAACAAAAAAAUUUGGAAAGCGAAGGUACCACUUAAAGUCAAAAUAUUCAUGUGGUAUCUCCGUAGGGGAGUUGUGCUAACAAAAGACAACCUCGCACGACGCAACUGGUCGGGAAGUAAGAAGUGUUGUUUUUGUACUCAUGACGAGACAAUUAAACACCUCUUUUUUCACUGUAAGUUUGCGCGUUCUACGUGGUCAGCCAUCCAAAUAGCGUCAAAUUUGUAUCCGCCCACAAGUGUUGCCAAUAUUUUUGGUCAUUGGCUGGACGGUAUUUCAAAUGCAUACAAAACGCUAAUAAGGGUGGGAGCGUAUGCCUUACUAUGGUCGCUUUGGCUAUGUAGAAAUGAUGUUGUUUUUAAUGACAAAACUGUUUCUCCUUUGCAGGUUAUUUUCCGUUGUACGCACUCGCUUCGUACGUGGUGUACGCUACAACGAGCAGAGUACCAACCGCUAUUCAAGGCGGUGUGUACGCUGUUGGAGCAGGUGGCUACGGAGGUUUUUACCCAACAUGGAUGGCAGCAUAAUCUCCGGCUCGGUCCGCCAUCUCUUUCGACAUAGGCAUAGUGUCGGUCUAUGGACUCUACUGUUGCCGAAUUGUCGGUCUUUUAUAUUUCUGUUUAUCAGACUACUGGUGUUUGGCUGUGUGCAUCCUAGUUAUGCAGAGACCGGGUGAUACUCUUAAUGCUUUGUAUCACUUUGAUGCUACAUUUUGAGAUAAUAAAAACGUCCCUUAUCAAAAAAACAUUUAACAUCUCAAGGAAGGUUCAUCAGUUACUAUCUAGUUUCCAGAGGGCAAGUAAAAAAAAAACAGAGUGGAUUUCACGCCCGUGAUAGUAUUUAUCCCAUUUAGCAGAUUUUUCAUAAUUUUUCUCAAACUUGUGUCCCGAAUUAUCUCAUUUAAUCUUUUUUUCUCAUUUUUCUGCUGACUGUACACGAUGGUUUAGUUUAUUUUUGUCAUGCGAUUAUUUAUGUUUUCUUCUUUUACAAGCAUCCAAGUGCUAUUACUAGUACUCUACUACAGUAGCUUGGAGCAAAAAUCGCAGAGACUAGCCAUACGAGGACCGAAUAGGUGCCCUUGUUGUAGAUGCCUAAUACAGUAACAAUAACAAUGGGGCUCUGACAAAGAAGUCCGAACGAACGAUCGAUUAGCGUGAGAAAACCUGCUCGUCCAUCCCUGCAAGUACGUACUAGCAAAUUAAGCUUUGAUUUAGUUAUAAGCGCCGUAGAGACAGAACUGGCCCUGCACUUGCAGUCUGAAAGUAGCAACCAUGAAUCGCUUAUCCGUGCAACUGCAAGAAAGAGUGAAACUGUUGGCAUGGCACUGCCACUGACAGACGUGCGUUUAAGUAGUAAAUAAAAAGCUUGUCAAGCGCAGUGCAGCUCAGGAAGGAGCCUGGCCCAAUGUUUAACCAAGAGCAUCUUCAAGGCGGACUCGUAAACCUCCCGCAACCAUUCGGACCGCGGAAACCAUCCAACGUUGACCUGUAUCGGUCCGCGGGCGGUCCGGAUGCGAUUUCUCCGGUAAAUUGGAGACAAAAAUGAGGGAGGUUUGCAGGAGUGUGGACACUCGAAACGUAGGGCUCUGACACCCUCGGCCCACCCAAUCCCGCCUCCCGGUCUCAUUUUCUUCCACUCUGUCCCUUCUCCCCCUUGCUUCGCAUCCGCAUCCUCCAUCUCUGCUGUUGCUGCUGUUCGUCUCCUCACCGUUCUGACAAAGAUUUCAGCCCUGGAGCCGUUUGUACCCAGGUACACUACGCCCGUUGUCGACGACCUUCAUGGAGUUUAUUUUCAAAUGCUAUGUCGUUUUCUAGAGUACGUAUGAUGGUGAGCUACUUGACCAUGGAUUGUGCGAUGCGUGGCUGACCGUAUGCGCGGAUUUCAUAGGCAGGACCAGAGGGCCGCCCUUCUGAGAGCACGUGCAUGAAAAGUUUCACGCGGGAAAGCACAUUGUGCCCUAUGACAUGUACAUGAUUCAAUGAUGCGACGUGAGGUCGUUGUCGUAUCGCUGGCACGCUAUCCAAGUUAGCGUCAUCAAGUUUUGCAACUUGGUUAGUCAGCACGAGGCAAGAUGGCCAUUGCACACGGACAUGGAGGAGAUGGUAGGUUUUACUUCCUCUUACUCAACUUGUUGAUUGAUUCAUUCACUCAAUGUUCGUCUACACAUUAUAUGUAGUCCGCACGCGCCGCCGUGGUGUAUCACAGGUCAGAGGGACGGUCAUUUACGUGCAUACACUGUUGGAUGAAGCUGAAGGGGAGGUAUAUGUGGGACGACAUGAUCCGUCAUGAAAAACUUAUUGAACAUCCGGAGUCUAGUCGAAUUUGAGACCUUGCUGUAGUAGACUUAAUUUGCAUGCUAUGUGUGAAUGAUUUGUGCUAUUUUCUAUCCGAACUUUGAUGAAUAUCAACCGGUUUGCAUGAAUUUCGUCUGCUUUGUUAAAAUGCAAUUUGAAAUAUAUGCGGCUAGCAUUGAAUAGCUGCCUCCCGCAUCCGUGUCCAUAAACGGAUGCGACACGGAUGCAGGAGGUUUUUUACGGUUACCAUUGAAGAUGCCCUAACGUCUUAAUAUUUGCCAGGCAAAUACUCCCUCGAUAGUGAUCUAAACACUCUAGUAGUAUUUCUUUACAGAGGGAGUACGUGCAGCUCUGCGGACUGCUGCCUCGAAUGUAUAUGUAUGAGGCUCUGUAUCUUUAUCUAUCUAUGUGUGUGUGGCAGGCAAACAAGACUCGUUCAAACAUAAAGCAGACCCGAUUCUUCUUUAGCCAAAAAAAAUGCUUUGCUUUUGCUCUGCAUCCAUAGAUAAAGCAAGAAGAGAGAUAGAGAGUGUUUGAGAGAGAUUGUUCCCUGUCACACCAACACACCGGUAUGGGAUGGCCUUGGUUGCAACAAAAAGCAUGUCAUCUUUUCCCAAAAGCCCUCCUCCGUGCGCCAUACAUCGUCCAGUGAGCCCAAUCCAGCAGGAGUAUCCAGUGUUGUUGCGGCUGCAGGCUAGCUCAGCAAACAUGAACAAGUGAGGGUGUGUUUGGUAGCAUGUAUGGACCUAGCCUAGUUGUUCUCCUCUCAUAUAUGCUCAGUGUAAACAUGCCGAGUCCAUGUAGUUGCUGUUGUUUGGCGGUGAUGUAUGCGCUGAGACAUGCUGAGCUGAGACUUUGUUUGGCAGCCUGCAUGUGUUUAGACAUGCUGAACAAUUUCAAAUUCUAAUUUUUUGAAUGAUGAACAAAAUUGAAACAAAAUGAAAACAAAUUUAAACAAAAUUUUAAAUUUUAAAUAUUUUUUCAAAACUAAUUAAAAUUUGAAAUUCUAAACAUAUUUUGAAAAUUUGAAAAUAUUUGAAAUUCUGAACUUUCGAAAAUUUAAACAAUAUUUGAAUAUUUUAUUUUUUUGAAAUUAUGAUUUUUUUCAAAAUUCAAAAAUAUUUAUUUUUCUAAAUUCCGAACAUUUUUGAAAUUUUUAAAACAUUUAUUGAAAAUUUAAACAAAUUUUGAAAUUCAAAACAAUUUUUUGAAAAUUUAAACAAUUUUGAAAUUUUAAACUUAAAAAAAAUCAAAAUUUUGAACUUUUUCAAAAUUUGAACAUUUUUUCGAAAUUUGAACAUUUUUUGUAAAUAUAAACAUAUCUGAACGUGAUCUGGUGGGUGGGGACGAGGGUCAGGGCCAGCAUGGCUGCCUUCAUGCACCCUGUUUGGGGUGCAUGAGAUGAGCAUGGUUGAGGGCCCUUUUAUGCAUGGACAUAGCUCAGGUGAGCCUAUGCACCCUACCAAACAAGCAAAAGUGGGUCGGAUUGGAAACUUUUGCCCUCAUGCACCCUCCAUGCACCCUAUCAAACACACCCUGAGGGAGCAAGUCAUGGAGGAAAUAAAGGCAUGCUCUCGGGCACGGGCAUGGGCACGGGCACGGAUCACUGUGGAUGUGCAGAUGAUGCGAUGCAGGGCUUUCCUGCUUCUCUUUCUCUUUUUCCUUUCCUUUUUAGGCAAACAUGCAUAAGCAUAUUCAAGCUAAUUGUACUUACAAACCUAGUUAUAUUUAACUCUUUUUCUAUGAAAACCAAUAUUUUGAUCAUUUCAGGGUAAUAAAUGGAUAAAUAUAUUACUGUACCAACGUUUCUACUGAAAACUCUAGUUUUUAGGCAUUUUGGGCUUUGCAGUGCCUUCAGCCAAAAUCUGGAGCCCGAGCUUAGCCCAACAGUCGAGUUUUGUGAGACGGGCUAGCCAUGCUCAAGGCCAGUGGAAAGAUCAAAACCUUGCGUGAAAAAACCCUAUGGGGUUUUAUCAUUUAUACUACUAUUUGCGUUUUACUACUUAGUUUUGUUAUUACGAGUUUCAACUGCUCAAAAAUGGCAUCGCUCCGUUAGACGCAUGCUCAUAAAUACCACUAUAGACCAUUAUUGUUAGCUCGAAGCCCCUUUACCAUGUUAUAUGACUAAAAUACCCAAGGAUCUACAUGUCAGCUCUCCCUCUACCUCACUACUGUAAACCGUGGGUCCCACGUGAUCUCCAACAGCGUUCUUAUUUUUCUCUAAAAUUCUUCGCUCGCUUACACUCCUGACAAGUGUGCCCCAUACUUGCCAUUGUGAUAUAGAGGGAGAGCUAACAUUUGGGUCCAUGAGUAUUUUGGUCAUAUAACAUGGACAACGGGUUUGACCCGAUAAUAACAGUGUCUAAUGGCAUUUUUGAGCAAACAUCUAACAGAACGACGUCAUUUUAAGGUCUUUAAUGGCAUUUUUUAGCAAGCAUCAAUAAAUUCUGGUCAUGGGAUUCGAACUUGGGUCUGUCAAGGCACACAUCCGUGCUCUUGCCACUAGGCUGCUAGGAGCCCAUCCACUCAAUUGUCAUUUAUUCUAGCUUGAUCUUGUAGGCUAACAUAAGUUAACACCCUAGAAAUUAUAUAGGUUGGCUAAUAUUUGUUGUUGUAUUGAUCAGACCCUCGUAGAAGCGGCACCCACAACCAGUCAGGCCCCUCAUAGGCUGCACAUCGCCUACUCGGACGGUUCAUCGUCAUCGCCAUUGACUAGAUUGACUCCUCCAUCUUAAAUUCAGACUUUACGUAAAAGAUGAUGUGGGGUAGUUAAUUAGGCCAGAAUUAGCAGCUGCGGCCCACCCCGGUUAAAAUCAGGGAAGGAGAGAAUUUUACGGAAGGUUAAGUAAGCCUACGUAGCACCUUUCCUUUCAUAGACCUAGAAUUAUUGAUUCAAUAAACACCCCGCCACGGUUACUCGCGCGUGUCAACUUGAAUAGUGCGCGAGUGCUCCAGAGUAGUGAGUGAGUGCAGGCUCUUUUUCUUAACCCUUUUCACCGUCUCUGCUAACUAGAUUUCCGUCCAAAAACCGAACACAUUAUAUGAUUGAUUGAUGGCCGUGGCCAGACGGAUUGAUGGAUGACUGCCCACGGGUGCCUAAAUUUGUGGGUGAAGCUGAUUUCUUUUUAUGGUCUGUACCACUAGCAGAAGCCAGCAAGUCACUCCGUGCAUAUGAAAACCGAACCGAAAAACCAUACCGAAAAUAAACCGAGUCGAACCGAUUUUACGGUUUUUAUGGUUUCUGGUUUCGGUAUGGUAUGAACUUUUCAUACCGAUUUGAACUUUGGUUUUUAUGGUAUAUAUCGAAAAGCCGAAUGGUUAACCGAAUAAACCGAAGUAAAAAUAAAUUUAUAUUUCUUGAGAUGAACAACCAUACAAGUUAUCAUUUUUCUUGUACAUGAGUCACAUUCCCUACUGAGCACAUAAAUUUUCUUGUAACAUAGCCAUUUUUCUCUUUUUAAAAUGCUAAGCACGUCCAUAACCAUCAAUAGAUGAAUCAAUGCAUGCAUAUAUACUUACAUAUAUAGUUAUAUACUAUUUUUGUCAAAUAUAGUAUGUGUUUUGAGUCAUAAAUUUGCAACUUAUUAUUACGCCAUUUUCAAAUUCGCGUCAACUUUGGUUAUUAUGGUAUAUAUCGAAACCAUACCGAAAUAAUUUGUUAUAUAUUGAAACCGAACCGUAUUUUACUUUCAUAUCGUAUUUGCCAAAGUAUUAGUAUCAUACAAACCGAAAAACCGUAUAAACCGAACCAUGUAAACCGAAUAAACCGAACGCAUAGAGUGACCAGCAACGGUGAAUGGGGUCUCUCUAAGAAAAGGACUCUGAGUUGGAGCCAUGUAGGCAGCCACAGGAUGGAUGGAUCGAUGGAGUUACCAGCAGUUAAUUAUCUCUGAGGGGUGAGAUAUACUAUACUGCAUUAUUGAUUAACAGUUGUACUACUGUAUGGUGGAGUCAUAAGUAAUCGAACCAAUUUUUGUGCUGGCAAGGCUAAGGCAAACGGCAAAAGGCUAGGCAGGACCCGACUGGAUUGAGAAACCAAGGCAGCUAGCUGCACUGAGAGCAACUCCAAUCCGCCGAUCCAAAAGAACGCGCGAUUUGUCCGUUUGGGUCGGUUGAACGCUCGUCGUCCGCCUGGGGCCGACCGGUGCGCCAACCGGCUAACCCAAUUCUCGUCCGCGCAGAAAAUAAUUUAAACUUAAAAGGGGCCCGCGACUAGAGAUCAUGCCAGCGGCCAUGCCAUCGCCCAAAGUUCAUGCCGCGCCACCCACACCGCCCUCAAAGAUGAUGUUCUCCAUUAUAAAUGGUUGGCCCUGUCAUCGUCGUCCGGGGUCACCGGCAUUGUGUCGAACAGAUUGCGGCUGUCGGGAUGCAUGCCUGCGGGGAUCUUGCGCGGCCGUUUCCUCUGGCCCCCGGUGGACGACCCGCCCGCCAUAGGUGUGGCGUUGAGGUCGAUGGCCAUGGGAGCGGGCGCGGGCGUAGCCGACGCGAUCGCGCUCACCUCCGACGAAUAGUCCCCGAGAGAGCUGGAGAAACUGGAAGUUUGCGGGUGGGGAUGGAAGCCGAGCGUCUGCGUCGUGGUGGACGUGUGCGAUGACUCUGGCCGUGCCGGAUGAAAGGCAGAGGAGCCCGUGCUAGCCGCGGUUGUCAAACCCUAGGUAGAGUGGGACCUGCUUCGUGUCCGCAGCGACGAUGGCAUUGUUCUCCGCGAUGGUGGCCUCUUGUUGUGCGAUGGCGGUGGCGGCCGCGGCUUCCAGCUUGGUGGCCUACACCUUCUUCUUUUCGCCAAUGCACGGUUUUUUGCUUUUGUUUUUGCACAAAUGAAGAGAGGGAUUCCCUGUCACUAUGACAAACCUACACAACACAAUGGGAUGGGAUGGAAUGGUCUGGGUAGCAAGUAUACUAACAAAAAGGCGUUUCAAGCUUUUCUGGGCUUUCGGGGCGAAAUCUGUAUCCUCAGCCUGAGCCUGACCCAACCAUCGAGCUUCGUGUUCAGGUCGUCGAGCCGGAAGGCCAUGCUCAUGCUGGGGGUGGGGGGUGGGGUGGGGUGGGGUGGGGGGGAGGGGUGGAUCAAAAGCUUAUGUGGCGAGAUCAAAGUCCGACGGCCGCACCUAUGUCUCGCUCUUUUCCUUUUUUUUACUUUCGUGUAUACUUCCAAAUAUUAUAAAUAAAUAUUAAAAACGCUUUACAUAAAACAUUAAAAAAAUGUUAGCCAGGCAUUUGAAAAAUGUUGGAUGUAUAGAGAAAAUGUGUCACAUGUGUACGGAAAAUGUAUACACAAAAUAUACGAUGUGUGUGCAAAAAGUUGAUCGUGUAUUAAAAAAUUGUUAAUCAAGCAUUUGAAAAAAAAUGUUAAACAAGUAUUUCAAAAAUGUUAAUCAAGUAUUGGAAAAUUGUUAAACUAGAUGAUAACCCGCGCAUAGCUGCGGGAAUUUGUAGCAUUGCUUAGCAGGAGGAUUUAUGGAGUAAUUAAUUCGUGAAAUCAGUAAAGCAAAUAUAUAAAAAUAUGUUUACUUGAAUCUUUGAUAGAAUGAUGUGAAAAUUUUAAAAAAUAGGAUAAUCUAGUUGAUAAAAGCAUCUGUAAUGCGUGGCCCUGCCGAUAUAUUGCAAAAGUGUUGUUCAUAUCAAGCUUAACUAAUGACAAAUGUUCAUAUCAUUCAUACCUUGGUAGUCAUUUAUUGUGUAGCAACUUCCGCCAAGAAAUUCAAGAUGUCACCCUUAAUCAUUAAUUGUUUGUUGUUGGAGAAGCGAACAUCACUGGUGCACUUUGUGCCAAAUAUUCGGACAAACUCAGGGACGCUCCCGCUCUCCCCAAUGCACAUGUAUAAAUCAUGAUCUAGUUCAUAACUAAGGGGUAAAUAUUACCUGAUUCUAGAACUCCGGAAUGAAUAAAUAAAAUAAAAAUGGUUGGCGUAUGAAACUACAAUUAGGGAAUAGCCUAUAUGGACGUGUAGCAGAACUUGCAUAGAACAUGAACUGUUGUUGAUUUUUCAUACUAAGGAGCAAAGAGCCCAUGGAGAGCACUUUCCGCAUCUCAAUAUUAACACCGAGACCUCAAAUAGCUCUUUUGUUUGUACAUGGGACAAAGUACAAAAUAAGAAUAGUCUAAUUUAUCCGUUUUAAUGCAAAUUGAGCACAAAAAGUAUAGAGUUUCCCAACCAGAUACUACAGAAACAAUUACAGGAUGUGAGCUGCAGCAUUUAAUUUUUCAUCUAUGUUGAUCAAUGGCCUUGUAAUUCUUCACAUGUAUGUCAGAAAAGGUUAUCAUGAAAUGUAGUAUACCAGAAAAGGUUAUCAUGUAAUGUAGUAUGCCAUUGAGAAUCUCAUCAAAUGCAGCUAGAGAUACAUUGGAGUGAUGUGCUAAUAUCUCUGUGUGAACCUCUUGAUAUUGUUUGUAGGAACACACUCUUCAUAUAAAUGAUUAGAAUAGACCAUCCUCAUGGAAGAUUUCUGAUGAGAUAUAUUAAUAGCUAUAUGAUAGACGGGUUCCCAUAGUAAUAUAGCAUGAGGAAUGAGACGAAUAUAUUCCGAACUUUCUUGAAUAAACUUCCUUGAAAAUACUAUUUCUGAAAAAGAGUUCGGCUUGGUAUCAAUCCUAAGAAACAAUUGGAACAUAAAGGUUCUCAUACCACAUUGAGUGAAUAGUCCUAGGUACAUCCAAAAAGUUAUAUAAAAUUGACAGACAUCUUAUAAUAAAAGGUACCGCCGUAUACUGAUGGAAAGAGUAAUAUAUUGGAAUCCACUCUCUUAUUUACUUACAGAGAACAUAGGUAUAACCCUCUGUGGAUAUUGCUUAUGCUGGUGAUAGAUUAACUGAGAAUACAAGUACUCUAGAAGAUUUCAAAUGUGAAGGUAAAAUCCUUGGUCCAGGCGAACGUGUUGGAAUUCAGAGAAUUGAUGUCUUUCAAACAUGGAAUCGUUUGAGAGAACAACCAUGACCUCUCAGAAUAUCAUAGCAUCAUCACUCUUUCGGGUUAGUAGCUUCGUGAACCUUCAAAACAAAGGUAAACAAUGCAAUCAAAAAAAAUACUGGCUUAACACAUAAAAAAAUAAAUUAUCGGCUUAACACAUAUAAAAAGAAUUUAGCAAACAUAAGCAUAUGAGUUGUAUCUAGAGGUAUCGGUAUGAAUAGUCCAAUGGAAGGAAUUUGUAUGGUAUGUAAUAUGCACAUAAACAAAUAGAAGGUACGUACAUUCGCUAAUCAAGUCUAGAUAAUUAAAUUCAGAGAUAAGUAGUUGUGUACGAUCACGAGCAGCAGGAGAAAGACAAAAAGCAUUGAAUCCAAUCUGAGCAACCUAUGAAGCAAAAACUCGAGCACCUUUCAAUCCCGAGAGCAACACGAGAAAUUGAAAAGCAUGAGCUUGAUGAUAGGAAAAAUUAAGGGUGGAUGAAAAUAUGAAAUCUGCAGCUAGCAAGGCAGAGGUCGUUUCCUAGAUGAGAAUGUAAACAUGCGUGCUUGUUGGAUUACGAUGUCGGUCUAGAGGGGUUUUUAUACACAUUUUUCUCACAAUUGCGGAGUAAUGGAGGCUGAGAUAAUUAUGGGCGAUUAAUGGUGUGGUGCAUGAAGCCGUUUCUUGUGCAUUUGUGGCCGGGAGAAUGUGUGUCGUGUAGUUGAAUCAUAGUUUUAAAUAGCCGGCUAUAGCCGCUAUAGCCUUUUCAGCAGGGUGCUGCUAAAUGGUCGCCUUCACAAAUACUCCGCUAUAGCUAAUUUGAAGGCCCGCCCCUAUUUUUCAUAGCCCUCUAUUUAAAACAUUGAGUUCAACGGGUUAGUGGCGGCCGUAAAAUCAGAAGUGGGAAUAUGAACAAAUGAGCUGCUGGAUUUACAUCUAUCGAUCGGCGGGAAAGGGCUAGCGACGGCGGCUGGCAAGGGGGGCCGUCGGCCAUGGUGGAGUAAUUAAGGGUUUGGUUCUUUGCGCCGAGUUUUGGCGUAGCAGCGAUAUUUCGAUUCAUCCUUUUCUUCCAAGGAUUUCAUAAUUGGACGUUGAACCCAUUUCAUAUGAUGGGAGUUGCCGGAGUAUUAGGUGCGGCUCUGCUAUGCACUAUUCAUGGAGCGACCGUAGAAAACACUCUAUUUGAGGACGGUGAUGGUGCAAAUACCUUCCAUGCUUUUAACCCAACUCAAGCUGAAGAAACUUAUUCCAUGGUCAUUGCUAACCGCUUUUGGUCCCAAAUCUUUGGUUUUGCUUUUUCCAAUAAACGUUGGUUACAUUUCUUUAUGCUAUUUGUACCCGUCACCGGUUUAUGGAUGAGUGCUAUUGGCGUAGUUGGCUUGGCUCUGAACUUACGUGCCUAUGACUUUGUUUCCCAGGAAAUCCGUGCAGCGGAAGAUCUUGAAUUUGAGACUUUCUACACCAAAAAUAUUCUUUUAAACGAGGGUAUUCGUGCGUGGAUGGCAGCUCAGGAUCAGCCUCAUGAAAAUCUUAUAUUCCCUGAGGAGGUUCUACCACGUGGAAACGCUCUUUAAUGGAACUUUCGUUUUAGCUGGUUGUGACCAAGAAACCACCGGCUUUGCUUGGUGGGCUGGGAAUGCCAGACUUAUCAAUUUGUCCGGUAAACUGCUUGGAGCUCAUGUAGCCCAUGCCGGAUUAAUCAUAUUCUGGGCCGGAGCAAUGAACCUAUUUGAAGUGGCCCAUUUCGUACCAGAAAAGCCCAUGUAUGAACAAGGGUUGAUUUUACUUCCACACUUAGCUACUCUAGGCUGGGGAGUAGGGCCAGGGGGGAAGUUCUAGAUACUUUUCCGUACUUUGUAUCUGGCGUACUUCACCUAAUUUCCUCCGCAGUCUUAGGCUUCGGUGGCCUUUAUCACGCGCUUCUGGGACCCGAGACUCUUGAGGAAUCUUUUCCAUUCUUUGGUUAUGUCUGGAAAGAUAGAAAUAAAAUGACUACAAUUUUGGGUAUUCACUUAAUUUUGUUAGGUCUAGGUGCUUUUCUUCUAGUACUCAAGGCUCUUUAUUUUGGCGGUGUAUAUGAUACCUGGGCCCCUGGGGGGGAGAUGUAAGAAAAAUUACCAAUUUGACCCUUAGCCCGUUAUAUUUGGUUAUUUACUAAAAUCUCCUUUUGGUGGAGAAGGGUGGAUUGUUAGUGUAGAUGAUUUAGAAGAUAUAAUUGGUGGGCAUGUAUGGUUGGGUUUUAUUUGUGUAUUUGGCGGAAUUUGGCAUAUUUUAACCAAACCCUUCGCAUGGGCUCGCCGUGCAUUUGUAUGGUCUGGAGAAGCUUACUUGUCUUAUAGUUUAGCUGCUUUAUCUGUCUUUGGUUUUAUCACUUGUUGUUUUGUAUGGUUCAAUAAUACAGCUUAUUUGAGUGAGUUUUAUGGACCCACCGGGCCAGAAGCUUCUCAAGCUCAAGCAUUUACUUUUCUAGUUAGAGACCAGCGUCUUGGAGCUAAUGUGGGAUCCGCUCAAGGACCCACAGGUUUAGGUAAAUAUCUAAUGCGUUCCCCAACUGGGGAGGUUAUCUUUGGAGGGGAAACUAUGCGUUUUUGGGACCUUCGUGCUCCAUGGUUAGAACCUCUAAGGGGACCCAACGGUUUGGACUUGAGUAGGUUGAAAAAAGACAUACAACCUUGGCAAGAACGACGCUCAGCAGAAUAUAUGACCCACGCUCCUUUAGGCUCUUUAAAUUCCGUGGGUGACGUAGCUACCGAGACCAAUGCAGUUAAUUAUGUCUCUCCUAGAAGUUGGUUAUCAACUUCUCAUUUUGUUCUAGGAUUCUUCUUUUUUGUGGGCCAUUUAUGGCAUGCAGGAAGAGCCCGAGCUGCUGCAGCAGGUUUUGAAAAGGGAAUCGAUCGUGAUUUGGAACCUGUUCUUUACAUGAACCCUCUUAACUAAGAUUUUCUUAUUUAUACCUGUUCUACUUUUUUUCUGUUCUGGCUCGGUUAUUCCAUCUAGCCGAGCCAUUCAUUCCUUUUUAUGAAAGAAAGAUAAGGGACAGAAAAAAAAUGAAAGAAACAAACGUAUUCAAUAAGCAAAAGGAGAGAGAGGGAUUCGAACCCUCGAUAGUUCCUAGAACUAUACCGGUUUUCAAGACCGGAGCUAUCAACCACUCAGCCAUCUCUCCACAGCCUAAUCCUUAUUUUACUCCUACAAAUAGAACAUAGCCAUAUAAAAAAUAAAAAGAUUUAUUAGCCUCUAGAAAGAUAUCAGAUACAAGUUCCUUUUCGAUAUAUCUCUGUAUACUGUAUACACGGAUACAGGAUCCGCUAUACCCGCUUGUGAAAUAAAGAGUAAAUAAUCUCUUCUCACCCCCAUAUCCAAAUAAAAAAGCGGCUUAAGUAAUAAAUUUGAAUUAAAGAGAAGAACCAAUGGAUUCAUGAUUAAACCCCUCCUACUUCUUGUAUUUUUUUACAAUUUUGGUUUAAGUGAGGGAUCAAAUAUGUAGUCAACUUUAUUUGAUGGUAGCUUGGAGGAUUAGAAAUAUGACUAUUGCUUUCCAAUUAGCUGUUUUUGCAUUAAUUGCGACUUCCUCAGUCUUAGUAAUUAGUGUACCCCUUGUAUUUGCUUCUCCUGAUGGUUGGUCAAAUAAUAAAAAUGUUGUAUUUUCCGGUACAUCAUUAUGGAUUGGACUAGUCUUUCUCGUAGCUAUUCUGAAUUCUCUCAUUUCUUAAAUUAAAUUUGGUUAAUAUUUAUUAACCCCAUAAAAAAGAAAUAAUAAAGGCCAUUUCUUCUAAAAAAUUAGAAUAGUGAGACGUAUUAAAACGCAAUUUGCGUUCCGAAUUGCUAGCUCUUCUCUUUCAGUAUUAUGAAAUUCCAUUCCCAUUAGAAUAUUCAUUCACAGAUAAUAAAAAAAGGAAAACUCUAAUAUAAUAGAAAAUGAAAUGAAACGGUCGACCCAGACAUAGAAGGUCGACCCAGGCGGAUAUACGCUAUAAAAUAUAUACCGUAGCGAGCGUAGUUCAAUGGUAAAAUAUCUCCUUGCCAAGGAGAAGAUACGGGUUCGAUUCCCGCCGCUCGCCCGCUUAAUUUAUCAAAGUACUAUGAUAAAAAGUUUAGUCUAGUUAACUGUUUAACUACUUAUAUUAAAUUAAGUAUUAAUUAGGUGUUAGUCUAGUGCCGUAUCCCUUACUAUCUUACCCUUCCUUUGCAUCCCACUCAAAAAAGAGGGCGCUCCGGAGGCAGAAAUAGAACUCGCCAACAGAGCUCCAAAAAUUGGGUAUUAACUGAGACAAACAACGGGCAAACUUUUUUAAAGGGAAGAGAGAGGUAGACUGUCCCUUUCGUUUCAUUUUUAUUUUCUGCAGGGUAGGGAGAAGCCUUGCGCCUUCUUUUUUUGAAGGCAAGUGACUUCGCAAACUGCUCAAUUUUGCCCUCUAGGGCCGGGAACUAAUGAAUAAAAAAGGGUUGGAUACGCCCCUCUACCAUAUCUAGAGAAAUAGAAUAGUCCUUUUAUACAGACUGCUAAGUGCGGAGACGGGAAUCGAACCCGUGACCUUAAGGUUAUGAGCCUCGUGAGCUACCAAACUGCUCUAUUCCGCUCUAGAGUACCAGAAACUGGUGGACAAAAAAGGCUUGAAUACAAGCCUCUAACAUGUCUAGACAAAGAGAAUACUCCUUUUAUACAGAAUGGAGCGGGUAGCGGGAAUCGAACCCGCAUCGUUAGCUUGGAAGGCUAGGGGUUAUAGUCGACGUUGGUUGAUUAUUUUUAACGUCUCUAAUUCAAAACCGAACAUGAAAUUUUGAUUUCAUUCGGCUCCUUUAUGGAUAUUCUCACCACUUAACAUCUAUGUCAGCUUUUCUAUUUGAAUGGAACCAAAGCUCUCCGCUUUCUAGAUCAUCCUUAUAGAGUAGGAGAUAGAAAUUCUAUCUAAAUCCAUCUAAUCUACUUACUUCGUUCCCUAAUUUCAUUCAAGAGAUCCUGAGGAAAAGAAUUGGGUUUCCACCGAGCUGAAACAAUAUGCGGAUGGUUCUAGUAAACCAAAACUAUCGUUUUUUAGCUAUUUGGCUUCCUUAUUCCUUAUUUUAAGAAGAUUUAGUUACGAUUGGAAAUCAACUUUUUUGUAUCUUCAUCCAUAGAUCCUUUACUCAUAUUUUCAAAAUUGGAAUACUUAAUCCAAUGCAAAAUUAUGCUUCGCGACUCUGUACUCAUAAUCCUAUUUUUAUUUUGGAUGCUAUUUAAAUUAGUCUUUGGAUACAAAUCGCCAGAAUGUAUAUUCUUCCUCAAUAUGCUAUUGAGAGGAAAAGGAUUUAAUCCUUUAUAAGAACUAAAGUUUUCAUCGGAAUAUAAAAAUAAAAAACUUAAGGAUGCCUUAAGUAUAUCAUUUCAAAUUCAGUUAUUAUAUAGAACGAAUCACACUUUUACCACUAAACUAUACCCGCUACAUUGUAGAUUAUGGUAUAAAUGGUACCCUUUGUCAAGGAUAGCCAUUUGACAAGAAGGCUAAUUCCCCCUUAUUGAAUCAGAUGGAGAAGGUUCAUGACACUGAGCCGUUGGUACUUCUACUUCGAUCGCUCGCCUUUACUUUAGGAUUUAGAUAGCCCCUCUGGUCUGUAAAAAAAUCUUUUCUUACCAUGCUAAUAGCGCCUGAACCAAAUGUAUUUAUUUUGAUUAGGAUCCUAUUCUACGGUUACGAUUACAAUAAUAAUUAUUUACUUUGCAAGGACAUAAGUGUGUCAGACUGCUAAAUUGUUUUAUUAUUCCUACAAUAUAAACUAGGGGAUAUAGGGGGUAACACUGUCCCUAUAAAUUCCUUUUUCCUUUUCUUUUUUGUCCAGAAUUGAACAAAAAAGAAAUUAUGGAAGAUGUUUUCUUCCCCCAUUAAGUCCGAGCCAUAGAGUAAGAGUGAGAUGAGUUUUCCAAAUUCAUCAUAGACUUUCCCUAUGGCUUGAUAGAAGUAAGCAGCAAAGAGUCGUAACUUAAAGAAAAAAACGGGCAGGUCCGACAGAUUUACCUGAUGUAAAGAAGAUCCUAAAAGUCUCUGAUUAGUCGACUCUCUACAUUUAACACUUUCCUCUCUCUCCUUUUUUCCACUGACUCAAUUCUAGUUUAUUAGAUUCUUGUUUAAAAGAAUGAAAAAAGUUCAAUAGAACUAAGAACACAUAAAAAAUAGCAUAGAGGAUCAAGGCCAUUACCAAAAGUUCCUCCCAAGGGUCCUAUAUCCUAUUGGGUAUCUGUUCCCCGCCUUUUCCCGCUAGGAUCGGAAAUCUUAUAUUUUCCAUAUCCAUAUACCGUUGAAUCCUUGGGGUUCCAGAAUCUGCCUAUUUUACUAGUCUUCGGAAACGGAAAACCCUGAACCAAGAAGAGUUGGAUAUGUUAUGUAGGGUAUGUUUUUUUUAUUAAUUUUAUUUUGAGCUCUCAAGAUAUCGAUAUAUACAUAUACAAUCUCUACAUAAUGUCUCUCUCUCUAUCUCUCUAUAUUAUAUAUAUAAUAUGUACAUUAUGUAGUAGACCCAUAAUGGGAAAUCCAAGUGGCUAAUUUUUGAAUUAAAUAAAAAGCCCUUUUAACUCAGUGGUAGAGUAAUGCCAUGGUAAGGCAUAAGUCAUCGGUUCAAAUCCGAUAAAAGGGCUUUUUAAAUUAGUGGUAGAGUAAUCUUGUGCUAAGACGUAAGUCGUUGGUUCGAAUCUGAUAGAGUACUUUUCUACUAAAUUGAUUCACUUUUGUUCUUUGUUUUUGAAACUUUCUCUAUAUUUUUAGAGAAUUUUAUGACUUAGUGCGGGAUGGAUGCAUUUUUGGUCUGAACACUAAAUGAAGCACGGAGAAUUAAUCUAUAACGAUCAACUAAAAAAAAUCCUAGAUGAAAACAUAACAGAAAAGUUGGAAAAACUCUUUGCUUUGGAUCUAUUUAUACUUUGAUUAUAGUAUAAUCACGAGCGGUUGUAUAUGGCCCUAUCGUCUAGUGAUGCCCCUAUCGUCUAGUGGUUCAGGACAUCUCUCUUUCAAGGAGGCAGCGGGGAUUCGACUUCCCCUGGGGGUAGGGAGUAUUAUGAAAGGAGGUUAAUGGGGACGGACUGUAAAUUCGUUGACAAUGUCUACGCUGGUUCAAAUCCAGCUCGGCCCAAACCAAAAAUCUAGGGCUUCGUGAGUAUGAACUAAAUCCUUUUGUUUUUCUUCCAUAAGAUAAAAUGUCUGAUCUAUAGAAAUAAAAGAUAAAGAAAAAAGGGAAUUUUUUUUCUAAUCCAUAUCUCUCUCAUUCCUUUCUUACAAACAAAAGAGUUUUUCUUAUUGAAGGCUGGAUUAUUAUCCAUUUUUAGUGAUAAAAAAUCACGAUAUACUAGUUAUGUCACUCUCACUAUACCCACGUAUAAUAUAAUAUGCGGGUAUGUAGUAUAUGAUUCGUCUAUUUCUUAGAGUACGAAAGACGAAUCGAAUAUUCUUAUGGUUCUAUUUAAGAAUGGGUAUGCCAUACACCCCGCGGGGAUUGUAGUUCAAUUGGUCAGAGCACCGCCCUGUCAAGGCGGAAGCUGCGGGUUCGAGCCCCGUCAGUCCCGAACUAGGGUUCAAUGAAUGGAGAAAUUGAUAUUUCCUUUUUCCAUGAAAAAAGGGGCAGGGAGCAAGAUCAAAUACCCACAGGGCACCCUUACUUCACUUUUUUAUUUUGCAUCCCUCAUUAAAGAGGGAGGGAACGCAUAUAGGAAUUUUUUUUCACUACUCCCGAUCGAUAAAGAAAGACACACAUACGAUAUGUGGAUUAGUAGAAUUUAGGAUAUUGUAUUACUCUAUCUUUCUUUAUGAUGAUACCAUCCUCAUCUUAAUUUCCUAUUCCACUCUUAUGGAAUAGAGUACCGGUAUUUUACCGGAAUGCAUACAUAAAUCGUAUUCCCUUUUUAUUUCAGACCUCUUUUCCCCAUCUCACUUCUACUGCUUAUUUGGAUGUCUAUGUGACCCAUAGAAAGUUGGUCAUAUAAUACAUACAUAAUUGUAAGUAUAACUAUAAGAAAAAGGAAGGGAAAUUGUAUAAGAUUAAGAAAGUAGAAGAUUAAGAAAGCUCGUGGGUUAGAGAUAUAGAAAAGAAAAAGUAGAAAAGGAUUAAAAAAGAGGGAAUUCCUAAUCCAAUCAAAAAAGCCAUUUUGGUCUUAGUGUGGAUAGAGGAUCUUCCUAUGUUAUACUAUAUAACUCUCAUCCGUGAAAUAUAACUCUCAUCCAUGAAUUGAUUUGAUAGAUCCGAUAUUCAUAAUAUUG
rnacentral:lncRNA from 1 species